GUAAUGUCUUUGUGACAAGAACUUUCUUUGUCUUUUAUUCCCAUGUUUGAACUAGUAUAGGUCGGGGUUACACAUUAUGGUGCACAUCACUUUAUUUAUCAUCGUUACAUUGAACGCUCAUUGACUAAACAACGAUGAUCCAUCCAUCUUGUAUUGUAGGUCUUCAUUUCAUUGGCCACCGAUGCUUGUAAGACUAGUCUCAUAUGGUUGUUGUUGUGGAUAUGGUUGUUGAGGUUGGUGUGGUUGCUGGGGUUGCUGGGAAAUUGUUUGUUCUGGUUGCUGGGAUAAUUGUUGUUGGGGCUGUAGAAAUGGUUGUUGUGGUUGUUGGGGUAAUGGUUGUUGUGGUUGCAGGAUGGAUGGUUGUUGGGGUUGCUGGGGUUGGGGCUGGGGAAAUGAUUGUUGUGAUUGUUGGGGUUGCUGGGGAAAUGGUUGUUGCGGUCCUAGGAGGAAUGAUUAUUGUGGUUGUUGGGGGAAUGGUUGUUGNNNNNNNNNNNNNNNNNNNNNNNNNNNNNNNNNNNNNNNNNNNNNNNNNNNNNNNNNNNNNNNNNNNNNNNNNNNNNNNNNNNNNNNNNNNNNNNNNNNNNNNNNNNNNNNNNNNNNNNNNNNNNNNNNNNNNNNNNNNNNNNNNNNNNNNNNNNNNNNNNNNNNNNNNNNNNNNNNNNNNNNNNNNNNNNNNNNNNNNNNNNNNNNNNNNNNNNNNNNNNNNNNNNNNNNNNNNNNNNNNNNNNNNNNNNNNNNNNNNNNNNNNNNNNNNNNNNNNNNNNNNNNNNNNNNNNNNNNNNNNNNNNNNNNNNNNNNNNNNNNNNNNNNNNNNNNNNNNNNNNNNNNNNNNNNNNNNNNNNNNNNNNNNNNNNNNNNNNNNNNNNNNNNNNNNNNNNNNNNNNNNNNNNNNNNNNNNNNNNNNNNNNNNNNNNNNNNNNNNNNNNNNNNNNNNNUGCAGGGGGAAUGGUUGUUGGGGAAUUAUUUGUUCUGGUUGCUGGGGGAAUGGUAGUUGGGGCCGGGGAAAUGGUUGUUGGGGUUGCUGGGGGAAUGGCUGUUGUGGUUGCAGAGGGAAUGAUUGUUGGGUCUGGGGAAAUGGUUGUUGUGAUUGCUGGGAAAAUUGUUGUUGGGGUGUGGGAAAUGGUUGUUGCGAUGGAUAUGGUUGCUGUGAUGGAUAUGGUUGUUGUGGAUAUGGCUGUUGUAGAAAUGGUUGUUGUUGAUAGGAAAAUGAUUGUUGAGGUGAUUGUAAUUCUUUGUUGCUAGGGUUUAGCUGCCUAGCGGCAGUGGCGAUGUUCAUCGCCAUGGCAAGGAGGACAAAGAUGAGGAAGGUCUUCAUGUUGGAUUUGUGGUUACUACUGCUUGCUUGCUUUUGAUGCUUGUGGUCUAGGUGUGUGAAGUUUGGAUGAUGAAAUGUGGUCUUGGUGGUGCAUGUGUAUUUAUAGUUUUCAUGGCAUGGCUUGCUUUCUUCUUCCCACUCGCUUUUUGAAAAAGUGCACCAAUGCUUAUCCAACUAAUCAUUUGAUUUGUUGUGUUUGGUGCAACUACUUACUAGCAAGAUUUUGGAUUUUCAUGAUAGUUGCUUUUUGUUGAAAUCAUCUGGUUGUAAGGAAUGUUGGAUAAUGACCAAUGACUCAUCUUCUUCACUUUACACUGCAAACAUUGAUCUAAAUUAUAUCCUUUUUUGAAAUUUAGUUUGUGAAGCUCUACAUGUUGUUAGGCUUAUCUAUAUUGGCAUAGCUUGAGUGGAAUUAAGUUUGUAAGCUUGUGAGCGUCAUUAUGAUGGAUCACACUAUUAAUGUGAUGAUUGUACUACAAAUUAUCUUUCCAAAACUAAUUUUAUGUUUUUUCCCAAUAUGAUUCUAAGACGGAUAACCAGACAUGACUCAUCAAAUAACAAGAUAAACCGAGUAGCAAAUUGGGGUUAUAAGUUAUAACAUGGACUUUUCUCUAAGAUACACUAUCUUGUCUUGCAUGCUCUGUGAAUUUGAAAAGCAUCUACUAAUUUAUAUGCAAUUGAAACAAAAGUAGACCAGAAAGAUAAGCAAUGAAAUGAGAAUACUAUUAUGUGAAGCUCUACAUGUUUGGCAAGCAAUAAGAUACUGGAUACAUCUAUAUCUUCAAUCCUGACAAUUUUUCUCAUCCCUAUCAACUCUUUAUUGGCUGCCUUUACUGUAGUCAUCCCUUAAAUAAAAAUCACUUAAAGAUAAGUUUGGGAGCUAGUACCAGCAUCUAUCAUGUACAAGAUAAAAAACUAAGGCACAUAUAGUAGUCUAUUGACUAUAUUUAAUUUCAUGUGAUGUGAAAGCAUGUGGAGUAUAAGUUGGUUAAAUAUAAAAUUGUCCUUCAUACCAGUAGGGAAAGAAUAUGCAGUAUAAAGAUUAGAGCAUUAUUAAUAUGCUAUUAAAUGCUACAGGAUAAUCGAUAGUUCAAGUUAAGAACAACAAUAGCAUUCCAACUUUUGUUUUGUGCAAGUUAAGAACAUGCUAACAAAGUAACCUAAGCAAAUAAGUGCAACACCUUCACCUAUAAGGAAAUUUUGAAACUACACAAAAUGACCUAUUGUAAAGAAGGAAAAAAAUCUAAAGGUGAAUGAAAAGCAUGUUAAGUACAUUCAGGAUUCGGUUAUGCCUUCAUGGAUAACCUUUUAGAUGGUGACUUGUCAACCUUGAUGUGUGUCGGCAUGGAACGAGGACAAGAAGACAUCGUUACGUCGUACUUUGGGAAUUUCAUCAAACUGGUUGUGUGCGGGAACAAAUAUUUGUCGCCUCCCUGCUCAAAUCUCUCUUCAUGUCACUAAAUCCGACACUCCACCUACCAAAAUCAGCUGCAAGCCAGGGACAAUCAACAGGUUUCUCCGCCCGUAGCAUCUAUCACCAAAAGAAGUUCAGACUAUAGUCUUGUAGUUUAAAAUUUUGUAAUAACAAGCACUACUAGGUUGCUCUUGUUUGUACGUCUUCAUUAUGUACAACCCAUGGAACUUAAAAUGCAUGGGUCAUUCUUCGGUAUAUACAACCAAUGCAACCAAACAUGCAUUGGGCUUUUCUUUGUACAUCUUCAGGUUCUACAACCAAUGCAACAAAAAAUCCAUUGGGCAGUCUUCCAUUCUAGUCGGGCACCAAUAGUUAAACGAGGAGCUAAACAGUGUUGGAGUCUAAAACUACAUACAAUCAUGAAGCAGAGAGAUGCGACUUGGAAGUUGUGCUCCUGUGAGCUCGUAUUUUUGAAGAAAAAAGUAAUAUUUGUAUUUUGAAGUGGGAAAAAGUCCUAAAAAGGGAUGUUUUGCGGGUUAUAACUUACUAUUUUUGAGUCCUGGGCUGCAGGAAGGUCGUAAAAAAUCAAUGUGUUUUCCCAUUCAUGCAUGUUUCUUGGGUUAUAGGUCACGCUUUUGGUGUCCUAGGGAGAUCACUUCCCCAGUUGGGAACAUUAGGUGAUGAUUUUUAGCAAAACUCAUUGUUUUAGCCUAACUAGUUUCGAGGAUUGGUGGACAAGAUUAUCAUGGAACAAAGUGACAACCUUCCUUUUCUUCAUGCCUAAUAUAAACUUAGCAGUCAACUAAAAGUAACUAGCGAUAUCACAGAAUGUUUUUUUGUCAAAAGUAGAUACCACUUCAGGAUUCAACUCGGUUAGUUCAAUCAUAGACAUGUUAAGAGCAGGAUUUACAACUAACUGCAUAGGGAACAUCUCCUUUUAUCGCCCACUAUCUGUCUAUGCACUUUGGUUUUCCCGUAGCAGCACACAAAGCACUUUGUUAGUACCAAUAAUGUGCUCCAACUCUACACAUUAAUCAUCUUGAAUUCUUCUACUGAUGUCGAACAAUGUUAUAUCUUGAAUUCUUCUAACGAGUUCAGAUUAUACUACAUGGGCAAUUUAUCUGGUCCCUGAGAUGCAAGGUCGAUGAACAAUCGCUUCGUCUGAUGAUGAGGGAUUGUUUUUGCCUAAGAAACCAAUACAUGUAACUUCGACGCCAGAUUAAUAAUUGGUAAAACCCAAAUAAAUUAGAUCACGAGCUAAACCAUUUAAUUUUGUAUGCAUUUAAACUUUUGAUACAUAUGAGCUUGUUAAGAUGUUCGCAUAAACACCAUGGUGAUUUGAAGCAAGACAAAGUAAACUUGAACCGCUUGAGCCACUGACUUAAUAAGAACCUCCUUUCCCGUGGCAGAGAUCGUUUUUAAUACAUCCACUCACUUUGGUUCUCUUAUGAAAUCUAGAUUCCUUCGCUAAGGCUAUUGCUCCAGUAUUGUCACAAAAGAUUUUUGUUGGACCCGAUGCACUAGGUAUGACACCUAGAUCGGAUAUGAACUCCUUCAUCCCGACUCCUUCAUUUGCUACUUCCGAAGCAGCUAUGUACUCCUCUUCACAUGUAGAUCCCUCCACGACGCUUUGCUUGAAACUGCACCAACUGACAGCUCCACCAUUCAAUAUAAAUACGUAUCCGGUUUGUGACUUAGAGUCAUCCAGAUCAGUGUCAAAGCUUGCAUCAACGUAACCAUUUACAACGAGCUCUUUGUCACCUCCAUAAAUGAGAAACAUAUCCUUAGUCCUUUUCAGGUAUUUCAAGAUGUUCUUGACCGCUAUCCUAUGAUCCACUCCUGGAUUACUUUGGUACCUCCCUGCUAAACUGAUAGCAAGGCACACAUCUGGUCUGGUACAUAGCAUUGCAUACAUGAUAGAACCUAUUGCUGAAGCAUAGGGAAUGACUUUCAUUUUCUCUCUAUCUUCUGCAUUGGUCGGGCAUUGAGUCUAACUCAACUUCACACCUUGUAACACAGGCAAGAACCCUUUCUUUCCUUGAUCCAUUUUGAACUUCUUCAAAACUUUAUCAAGGUAUGUGCUUUGUGAAUGUCUAAUUAACCGUCUUGACCUAUCUUUAUAGAUCUUGAUGCCCAAUAUAUAAGCAGCUUCACCGAGGUCUUUCAUUGAAAAAUUCUUAUUCAAGUAUCCUUUUAUGCUAUCCAGAAAUUUCGUAUCAUUUUCGAUCAACAAUAUGUCAUCCACAUAUAAUAUCAGAAAUGCUACAAAGCUCCCACUCACUUUAUAAAGGCUUCUCCAAAAGUCUGUAUAAAACCAUAUGAUUUGAUCACACUAUCAAAAUGUAUAUUCCAACUCUGAGAGGCUUGCACCAAUCCAUAAAUGGAUCACUGGGCUUGCACACUUUGUUAACACCUUUUGGAUCGACAAAACCUUUUGGUUGCAUCAUAUACAACUCUUCUUUAAGAUAUCCAUUAAGAAAUGCAGUUUUGACAUCCAUUUGCCAAAUUUCAUAAUCAUAAAAUGCGGCAAUUGCUAACAUGAUUUGGACAGACUUAAGCAUCGCUACGGGUGAGAAGGUCUCAUCAUAAUCAACUCCUUGAACUUGUCGAAAACCUUUCGCAAAAAGUCGAGAUUUGUAGACAGUAACAUUACCAUCAUCGUCAGUCUUCUUCUUGAAGAUCCAUUUAUUCUCUAUGGCUUGCCGAUCAUCGGGAAAGUCAACCAAAGUCCACACUUUGUUCUCAUACAUGGAUCCCAUCUCAGAUUUCAUGGCCUCAAGCCAUUUCGAGGAAUCUGGGCUCAUCAUUGCUUCCUCAUAGUUUGUAGGUUCAUCAUGGUUGAGUAACAUGACCUCCAGAACAGGAUUACCAUACCACUCUUGUUGGGAAUAUGACUACCAGGUAUGACCCGCCCAGGAGGGGCCGGGUCAAUCCUAAUGGCGGGUUACUAAAAGAAGCUCAGUGAAUAUACAAGGCGAUAGUUUAUUAUAAGACUUGUAGUAGGACCAAGCCCAAAGGCGGGUUAAGGCCCAUAAUUGUAAACCGCCAUGUAUAAGAAAGAAUUGUAAAGAAAGGCAUGUAAGAGAAGUCACCGAGCCGGGCACGUUAUAUGAGCCGGCUGGGACUCUGUAGGCCGCCAGGCGUCAACCCGUGUAUAUAAGGGGACGACCCGGUGGCGGCUUAGGGCAAGUAACAUCAAAUCGAGAGCCAUGCAUAGCGUAUUUGCUCCCUGGUCAUCGAAACCUAGCAAUACCACAUCAACUGGACUAGGCUUUACCUUCACCGUAGGGGGCCGAACCAGUAUAAACCUUUCGUGUCCUUUGUCCCGAUUAACCCCUUUAAGCUUCCUAGUUGCGAUGGCUCCACGACUAAGUCCUUUCAGUAGGACAUCUGCCGUGACAAUUCCACGACAGUUGGCGCCCACCGUGGGGCCAUCGCACGAUGGAUUUGAGUUCUUGAAGGGCAGCUUCCAAGGGCUCAAGGGAUACGCUGUGGGCCGGAUAACCAAAAGUUGUCACAGCAAGCUCUACAUCGACGACGCAGGCUGGGGCCCCGAGGCUGGCUCAAUCGAGUACGGGUACCGGGUCCCCUUCGGCGGAAUCCACGUCUUCAUCGGCCGGAUCGGCGAGCCGGGCCCUGAGUCGGACAUCUGCACCGACCUCAUCGAGAUGGCUCAGCGAGUGAGACCUGCCCGGGCUCAACCUGCCGUGAGGCGUGCCUUCGUGGGUUGCAUCCAUGGAGGGGAAUUUUCUGAAGGAUCGAUGGACGGUGGUGAGACAGUCGUUUGCUCUAGCAGUGAGUCGUCCAUAGGCGAGACAGAUUCUUUGUAUCAGCUACAAGAUGGCGGGCUUGGGGGCUGUUCCGAUGGCAGUAGUAUUCCGGACCCCUCUGAGCCGCCGAAUCGAGCCGGAGUCUUCAUGGCUGGCACUCAACCUGGUUAGAAUUCUAUGGCUGCGGCAGCAAUAACCACUGGGUCAGCAGGGGCCGGGUCAGGAGACCCCGCGCGCCCACCGGCUCAGGUACUAAUGGACCUCAUGGAUAGGAUGACGGCCCUGUUGACUGCUGUGGUUGAGCCGGCAGAUAAGGCUCAGCAUGACGCAGAGGUAGCACAGCUACACAGAGAGGUAGCACAGGCCAAGGAAAAUUUAGUGGCGGAAGAUGUCAGGAUGGCCGCGGAACGGGCGGCUCUGGAUGCACGGGCUCGGCAGCUUCAAGCGAAGACUUUCUGGCUCUCGGUGGAUCUGAACGCAUCAAACGAGGUCACGAGGAGAAGGCACCAGAAGGCUCAAUCAUGUCUGCCUCUGACUUACGAUCCUAGGAACCUUUUUCACACACCCGGGACUGGUCCCAGUAACCCGCUGAAGGCAAACCGGAUCACAACACCCGGGACCGGGACGCCGGUUCAACCGCGGGCCAUGGAACCACCGCGUGUGAAUACUGCUCUGCCUCACUACACAGCGAUACCACCGGGUCACUUCUCUAACCCCUUGGAGAACCUUAUUGCUGCGUCGGCUCAUCUGGCGGCUCUCCCGAUGGAAGGUGACUCUUCGACGGCGAUCGAGACACGACGGGUCAGAGAACUUCUUCAGACGGCUCUGGCACAGCAGGAUGCAUAUUCUUAUAGUUGAGAUAGAAUCCAUUCAACCCCUCGCCCAAGCCGGAGCCCAAGCUAUAGCAGGCAUAUGGACUCGGCGGCCAUGUCAAGCAACACCCAGCGCCGUAACCAUCCACGUGGGCGUGACCCGGCCCCGGGCGGAGCUUGUAACUUGGUAGACCAGGAGAGGAUCCGUCAAGAGGCUGAACGGGUGGUUCAACAGGCGGCUGAGCAAGCGGCUCACCAAGCUUUUCCAAUUUAUACAGUGACCUCUGUUGAAGCAGGGGUGGCCACAAGGACAGGAGGAGUCCCUUGUCUUGUGCAGUCUCUGCGUAAUGAGCGUUUACCAAAGGACUUUAAGGGGCCUCGUAAGGUGCCCAAUUACACAGCCGACCUGCAGCCCGGAGCAUGGAUUGAAAGUUACGAGAUGGCCAUGGAGUUAUUAUAAGUCAGUGACGCAGCAAUGGCCAAAUACUUCACCAUGAUGUUGGAUGGAACAGCUCGUACUUGGUUAAAGGGGUUACCGCCCAACUCCAUCGGCUCAUGGGCGGAGUUGAAGGCACGGUUCAUUCAGAACUUUAAAGAUACCUGUAAACAGCCCAUGUCAAUCGUGGACUUGACUAACUGCAAGCAAGAGGAAGGCAAAUCCAUGACCCAUUGGGUGCGCCGGGUCAAGGAAAUAAUACAUUCAUCUGAUAAGAUGGAUGCCAGCUCCACGGUCUUAAUGUUGGAGAAAAAUUACCGUUUUGAACCUCUGAAACAGAAGCUGGGGCGGCUCAAGCAUGAUUGUAAUGACAUGGGCCAGUUGAUGGCGGCUCUGGUCAAAUAUGCUGACUCUGACAGUACCAAGGAUCCCAUGUCUGACGAAGAGAAGACGAGGAAGGGAAAGAAGAACGGCAACGGCAAGGGUCACCAGCAUAACCCGACAAAUCAAGGAGGUAAUAAACGCAAGGCUGACGAGUUUGUGGCUAACACCAAUGCACAUGGCAACAACCAAUGGCGCAAGGGGAGGCCACCUCCUCGGUCAGGCGGAUCAGGUCCCACCCUCGAGCAACUACUAAAUGAACCCUGUCCGGGACAUGGCACCCGGGAGAAGCCGGCUACCCAUCUGUGGAAGGAUUGUACGAUCAUGAAGGCUUUUAAGAAUUCUAACAUGUUUGAUGGUAACCACGGGCCUGCUGGCGGCUCAGGCGGUGGCGGUUUUCAUGGCCAAGGCCAUCCGGGUAGUCAAGGCGAUUAUAGUCAGCAAUCCGGCCAGGGCAGUCAGCAACAGCAGCAACAGCCCGUGUAUCAGAGUAACCCAAAACAGCUGAACAGUGGACAGUACCAUGUGUUUACCACCAGUUUGUGCAAGAGGGACCAGAAGCUUCAGAAGAGGGAUGUAAAUGCUAUUGAGCCGGCGGUUCCACGUUAUUUGAGAUGGUCUGAACAACCUAUUCUGUGGAGUAGGGAAGAUCACCCACCCCGGGUUGAUAAUCCGGGUCAUCUGGCUUUGGUGGUGGCGCCUCAGGUUGGUGGAUAUAAGUUCACUAAAGUGCUCAUGGACGGAGGCAGUAGCAUCAACGUCCUCUAUUAUGAGACGUUCUGUCGCAUGGGGUUGACUGAUAAGAGUCUUAAAACAUCCAACACUGUUUUUAUGGGGUAGUGCCUGGUAAGUCGGCGUACCCAGUUGGUAAAAUUGAGCUGGAAGUGGCCUUUGGAGAUGAGUAUGAUUCUAGGGCUGAGAAGCUAACUUUUGAAGUGGUUAAAAUCAAGAGCCCAUAUCACGCUCUGUUUGGACGGCCGGCUUAUGCUAAGUUCAUGGCCCGGCCGUGUUAUGUGUAUUUGCAGCUCAAAAUGUUGGGUUAUAAAGGCACUAUCAUAGUACAUGGAAGCCGGAAAAUAGCCCUGGAAUGUGAAGAAGGUGAUGCUGCAUAUGCCGAGUCUGUUUGUGCAACAGAGGAAUUGAAGUUUUAUAAGGAUAAUGUUGACCCGGCAAACAUGGCGUCUUUGAAGAAGCCAACUACGGAGCAUGAGCCGGCAUUGAAAUUCAAGUCCGCUGAUGACACCAAGAUGAUUGAUUUCGUGUCUGGCGACUCAUCCAGACACUUCAUUAUCAGUGCUAACUUGGAUCCAAAAUAGGAAAGCGUGCUCAUCGAGUUCAUCCAUGAGAACCGGGACAUCAUUGCAUGGAAGCCUUCUGACAUGCCGGGUGUUCCGAGAGAACUCGUUGAGCACACUCUCAAUAUUCAUCCAAAGUUUAAGAUGGUCGGGCAAUUUCUUCGGCGGUUUAACGAGGAAAGGUGCAAGGCCAUUGGAGAAGAGGUGGCCCGGCUCUUGGCGGCCGGGUUCAUUGUUGAAGUUUUUCACCCAGAGUGGUUGGCUAACUCGGUGCUUGUGCUUAAAAAGAACGGCACCUGGCGCAUGUGUGUGGAUUACACAAAUUUAAACAAGGCUCGUCCAGCUGAUCCUUUUGCUCUCCCUCGUAUUGAUCAAAUCAUUGAUGCUACGGAGGGUUGUGAGCGUUUGAGUUUUCUGGAUGCUUAUUCGGGUUAUCAUCAGAUCAAGAUGGCAGUUAAGGACCAGGAGAAAACAGCUUUCAUCACUCCGUUUGGAGCCUUCUGCUAUGUGUCUAUGCCUUUUGGGCUCAAGAGUGCCCACGCGACUUAUCAGCGGUGUGUACAAAAUUGCCUUCAUAAUCAGAUUGGGUGUAAUGUUCAUGCUUAUGUGGAUGAUAUAGUGGUGAAAUCCAGAGAGAAGGAAACCUUAGUAGCUGAUCUAAAGGAAACCUUUGGUAACCUCCGGGUCUACAAGAUGAUGCUUAACCCGGCCAAGUGUGUUUUUGGAGUCCCAGCUGGCAAGCUCUUGGGUUUUUUGGUGUCUAAUGGAGGCAUUGAGGCUAACUCGGAGAAAAUAAAGGCAACCACGUCUUUGGCUAAACCGGCAUGCAUCAAUGACGUUCAGCGGCUGGCGGGCCGUGUCGCAGCUUUAAGCCGGUUUAUAAGUCGGUUGGGCGAGAAGGCUAUGCCAUUGUAUCAAAUGAUGAAAAAGGUGGAUGACUUUGUAUGGAGUGACGCUGCUGAUUCCGCUUUUGAAGGUUUGAAAAGACAGCUUGCUGGGCCACCUAUUCUUGCUGCCCCCGUUGAGAAGGAGCCGCUAUUGUUAUAUGUGGCUGCUAACUCACAAGCCGUCGGCAUGGCCAUUAUUGUGGAGCGCAAGGAGGUUGGCAAGGAACAUCCAGUUCAAUGGCCGGUUUACUACGUCAGUGAGGUGCUCAUUGGAUCCAAGAAAAGAUACCCACAUUAGCAAAAACUUGUUUAUGGGGUGUUCAUGGCAAGCCGGAAGCUUAAGCAUUACUUCCAGGGUCAUCCUAUCACUGUGGUUAGCUCUGCUCCUUUAGGAGAUAUUAUUUAGAACAGAGAAGCCACAGGACGAGUCGCCAAGUGGGCCAUUGAGCUUGGGGUCUCAUAAUAUAAAGUAUGUGCCACGUACGGCUAUUAAGUCUCAAGCACUGGUGGACUUCAUUAAUGAUUGGACGGAGUUACAGACACCUGAAGAGAAGCCAGACAACACAUAUUGGACGAUUCAUUUCGAUGGGUCCAGGCAGUUGGAAGGCUCGGGGGCUGGAGUUGUGUUAACUUCUCCUCGAGGUGACAAGUUUUGUUAUGUGUUGCGAUUGAUGUUUCCUUGUACUAACAAUGCAGCAGAAUAUGGGGCCUUGCUCCAUGGUCUUCGAAUGGCUAAAGAGAUGAGUUUAAGACGGGUACGGUGCCUUGGCGACUCAGAUUUGGUGGCUCGGCAGGUGUCAGGCAAGUGGGAUUCCAAGGACCCUCUCAUGGCGGCUUAUCGCCGGGAAGUUGAUGAUGUUGUUGGACAUUUCAAAGGUUAUCAGGUGGAGCACAUUGACCGCAGAAAAAACAAAGCGGCUGAUGCUUUAAGCCGGUUGGGAUCACAGCGUAAGCUGGUGCCACCUAACACUUUUCUAGAUGUUCUUCAAAACCCUUCUGUCAAACUGCCUACAGAGGAAGAUUUGGUCAUUCCAGACCCGGAGGCACAGUUAGUAGCGGCUCUUCAUGUUAUUCCAGAUUGGACAUUACCGUAUUUGGCUUACAUGACCCGGGGUGAGUUGCCAGAGGAUGAGACCUUGGCUCGACAGAUAACCCGACGGUCUAAGUCAAUGACAAUUUCCAAUGGUGAGUUGUAUCAUCGCAGCGUCACUGGAGUGUUUCAACGUUGUGUCUCUCCCGAAGAAGGUCAAGAAAUUCUUCGUGAGAUCCAUGAAGGGGAUUGUGGUCAUCACGCUGGUUCAAAGUCUCUUGUGGCUAAAGCUUUUCGUCAUUGUUUUUACUGGCUAACGGCUCACGCUGAUGCAGAGGAUCUGGUCAGUAGGUGUGAUGGGUGUCAAAAAUUUGCACGACGAGCGCACGUGCCGGCUUAAGAAUUGCGGAUGAUUCCAAUCACUUGGCCGUUUGCAGUCUGGGGGCUUGACAUGGUUGGACCUUUUAAAAGAUCCAAGGAUAAAAAGACACAUCUUUUGGUGGUAGUUCACAAAUUUACAAAAUGGGUUGAGGCAGAGCCGGUUAGUAAGUGUGAUGCAGCCACGAUGGUUCAGUUCAUGAAAAAGGUGAUCUUUCGUUUUGGCUUUCCACAUAGCAUUAUAACUGACAAUGGUACUAAUCUGUCCAAAGGCAACAUGGAGGAGUUUUGUCAAUGUGAGCAUAUCCGGCUUGAUGUUUUGUCUGUAGCUCACCCCCAAUCCAAUGGUCAAGCUGAGAGAGCAAAUCAGGAAAUCCUAAAAGGUCUCAAGCCCGACUUAUGGUUCGUUUACAACGGACGCCGGGUUGUUGGGUGGAGGAAUUACCCUCGGUGCUGUGGAGUAUCAAUACCACUCCUAACAGAUCUACAGGUUAUACACCUUUCUUCAUGGUUUAUGGAGCAGAAGCAGUUCUGCCUAGUGACAUCCGUCAUGACUCACCUCGCGUGGCGGCCUAUGUUGAAGCUGAUAAUGAACAAGCCCGACAGGAUGCACUUGACUUGUUAGAUGAGGAGAGAGAUUUGGCAGUGGCUCAAUCAGCAAUUUAUCAACAAGACUUGCGCCGUUAUCACAGCCGCCGGGUUAAGUCCAGAACCUUUCAAGAAGGUGACCUAGUGCUCCGGCUCAUCCAGGAUCUGUCUGAUGCACACAAGCUAUCCCCGCCUUGGGAAGGACCCUUUGUGGUCAACAAGAACUUAAACAAUGGGUCAUAUUACCUCAUUGAUGUUCGAGAGCACAAAGACCCACGUAAGUCGGAGGAGGAGACCCGCCGGCCGUGGAACAUCGCUCAGCUUCGGCCAUACUACACUUAAACCAUCGGCUCUCAUCAUGUACAUACUUUGACGUUGUAUAUAAUAUGAUAAGUAAUAAAGCAGGACCUCUGUCCUUUUUCCCCUUCAAUGAUCAUAUAUCUUUAUUAUUUUCAUUAUUUAAAAUGACCAUUAGGGGGCUGAUCGUAUCCGAAUCUAGCUUAACCCUUUUGGUCCGGCUCAUGAUCGUAUUCGAAUCUAGCCGUAAAACUCAUGGUCACUUGGGGGCUUCCUGUUCAAACAUAGGUCGUAUUCGAACCAAAGAGAACAUAGCUGUCGUAACCCUCUUGAUCGGCUCAAAGCCAAACUCACUAGGGGGCUUCUUGAUCGUAUCUGAAUCAUAGCUUAACCCCUUUUUGGGUCCAACUUGGAUCGUAUUCGAAUCAGGGUCGUUAAAAACCUCUCAAGGUCAUUUGGGGGCUUCCUAUUCAAACAUAGGUCGUAUUCGAACCAAAGAGAACAUAGCUGUCGGUACCCUCUUGAUCGGCGCAACGCCAAAGCCACUGGGGGCUAUAUGAUCGUAUCCGAAUCUUAGCUUAACCCCUUUGGUCCGGUUUACUGAUCGUAUUCGAAUUAGAAGCCUCCAGUUUUUAUUUAAAUGUUUGAUUUACAUUGUCUGAAGCCUAGUGUUUUAUCUUACUAUUUUUAUCGUCUCAAAUCUAACUGUUAGUAUGGUUUCAAAUUAAACCGGCUUGGCUAUUUGACAAUGUGUCGCCAAGGCAUAACAGUCAUCAGACAUAUGGAAGUAUUGACUUCUAAAAAAGAUUGGGUUAUCAACCUCAUCAUCCGGGUCAUGUAAACCGACAGUCCAUGUUCAAAAACCACAGGUAUGACAGUGUCAUUCAUGAACAGACUUCCCUGGGUUUUUCGUCAGUCAAAGGAUUUUUCAGCCUUGUUUAUCUUACAUCUGGUUCUAUUUUUUCCACUAUGAUAAUUUCAUAAUCAUGUACCGGGUGUUUUGACCCGUCCGGUGCUAAGCCACCGGGACAGUUUUUUUCAUCUUUUACAGGAACAGAGUUAAAACAUUACAGAUGUAACCACGAUGUAAUGCAUAUAUAUAUUGACAUCAUGGGCAAAGAGUCAUAUGAAACAUCUUAUGCACGAUGGCAUAGGCAAAAUAUGCAAUUUUCAAACUAACCUAUUACAAGGCAUUGAGAGCCCAAAAGGUUAAACGGUUUUCUCUCUUAAGCAGGUCUUAAGCUAAAAACUGGAUUGUUCAGAUGGUUAUGACUCCUCCCUGGCCGUUUCACCUCCCUCCACUGGUUGGAAGCUGGGAUUGGACCAGUCAAAGCCGUUCAGAGCAAUGAACUCAGCCUCAUCGUCAAUUAGGCCGGCCGGGUCAAUUUGCAGGGCAAAAGUGUGUUGACGAACCGGCGGGAUAAGAUCCAUCACUUUAUAAGAGGGAGUCGCCAUCUUUUUAUUCUCCAUAUCAAAACCCGACUGAUAUUUUUCGAUGUUGGUCUCCUCACCAAGAAUGGUAGCCUGAGGACGAACUCCCCUCACACAAGCAAUAAAGUCAUCUUGCUCAAACGGAGUCCCGUCUUCCUUCAUGGUAGGGUACCCCUUAGCCACGUCCACCGGGUGUAAAUCGGGCACCCAGGCUUUGGAGCGGCUCAGGGCAGUCAGGGCUCCGACUCUGGCACAAGAUCGUUUGACCUCUUGAAAUCUGGCGGGUAAGAUCGAUAACUUCUUCAAAACAUCACUUAAACGGUUGGGUCCUUGGUUGGCAGGGGAUAUAUAUAGUAGAAAGUGCUCGUUGAGCACCAGUGUACAGUUGCUCCACCAAGGUAUAAACCGCCUUCAGUUUUGUCACACUAUCUUGACUCAGAUAUUUUACUUCGUGGACCUGUGAGUACUUUUUAACAAAGGCUCAGCAGGCGGCUUAUAUUUCUGGUUAAAAUAAAGUAUAAGUGACUAAUGCAAAUGACUUACCAAAGAUGGCGGAGACCAUUUGAUACACACGGUUUUUUAAGCCGGUGAGCUCCAUGGUAACCUCCUCAAGAGUCGCCUCUGCUGUCUUGGCACGUUGUGUCAGCAAGGUCUUCUCAUCGGCCCAGGAUUUCUUCUUCUCAGUCACACUGGUCUUCAAUUUUUCAGUUUUAGAGAGACUCAAUUGGAGUUUGGAGUUAGCAGUCUUUAUCUCCGCUUCUUGAUCCGCCAGCCGGGUCUUUGCAUCCGUCAAUUGAGAUCCCAAUUCAGUUAGGGCGGUCUACAAACAUGCAUAGGUGUGUCAAAAUUUAAACACAAGUUAUAUUGAUUAAAGUCGCGAGUGCUUUGCAACGCAACACCACUUGGCACUUGGGGGCUAAUGUCUGCCAAAGCAAUUUUAUGCAAAAUGACUCUUCUAUGUUUCAAGUCCCAAGUGUUUUACAAAGUAACAACGCUUGGCACUUGGGGGCUAAUGCAUGAUAUUCAGAAAGUUUUUCAAGAUGAGCCGGAUCACACUACUUAUUUGGACUAAUCUAAGACAGUUAUGAAGUUAAGUACCGGGUCAUUUAUGAUAAAUUGAGCCGGCCCUUGGGGACUACAUGUGAAGUUUAUACUAAUCCGUUGAACUUAGGAAAAAUCUAAAGACAAGGUAUCAACCUAUAUCAUAAGUCUACAGAUCAUUCAGGUUCAUCAUAAUCUGAAGACUUGGGGGCUGGCAGAGUAUAUAUAAACCGGAGAACGUACCUCAUAUUCUGUAACAUCCCAAAUUUUCAAUUUGGAAUGUUACACGUUAGGUCAUCAUGCAUAUCAUAUUUUAUUUUUCUUUUGGUUUUGAUCCUAGAAAAUCCUAAGCAACUCAAGGACCCACGGAGAGAGUUGGGGAUUUCAUUAUUUACAUAUUUGAGUUUUCUCAAAUUAUGUAAACAGGAUCAUUUGAUUUUAUUUAUUCUAUCAUCAAUUAUUUCUAUUACAAAAAUAUGAGAGAGGGAAUAAAAUGACUUUUCCAAAAUAUAGAAAUAUUGAGGAUUUAAUAAAAAAUCAAAUAAGUUUUAUUUCGGAGUUUUUUGGUAUUUUUAUUUGAAUUUAGGAAAAAUGCGCGUUUUUCAAAUUGUAGUUUGGGCCCAGAUAAAUGUUCACUUUAUCGGGCUUGAUUUUAGGAACCCGGCAAAAUUUAUUUCGUGAUUUUUGGAGUCCGUUUAGUAUUUCUUUUUAUUUUUCUUCCGAGCGGAUUUAAAAAAAAACUAGAACCGACUCCGUGCCGUAACCGGCCAGGAAACCUCCGCCCGGGGCCUUUAUAUAGCGCCCGAACCGGCCGAGAGAGAGAGAGAGGCCCGAAGCCAGCUAACCCUAACCCUAGCUAAGCCGCCGCCGCCUCCCAGCCGUCGCCGCCCGCCGCUGCCGACUCGCCGGAGCGCGCGCCUUUCGAGGUUCGCCGCCGCCUCGUUUUCCGUGAAGUUUUUUUUUAAAAAAAAAAUCUGUUCGUCGUUUUUCUUUUUCGUCGGAUUUUCCGCGGUUAUUUUCUGAUCGCGAUUUCUGAUCCGGUUUUCGUUUUAGUAUAACUUUUCGCUCGUUUAUCGGAAUCAGGCGAUUCAAGCGCCUGGAGUUUCGUCUCGAAACCCUCUUUCCGAAUAAUCAACUUAAACAAGUUUUUGCUACUGUAAAAUUUGCCCUAGAUCCAGAUUACUAGAAGGAAGUUGUUUUUUUUGCCGUUUGAUUUCUUUCGCUUCGUUCGAUUUGAUUCUUUUGCCAACCAGGGUUCUUAAGUUGAACUUUCUGGUUAGAUCUUCUAUUUGAGUUUUACUUGUGCAUUAGAUGAGUACUUAUUGUAUGCUUGAUGUUUGUCUGUGAUAGAAUACCCGGAGUGCGCCGCCUGUUACUUCGAAUCUCUAGGUUUCGCGGAUCAUCAGCAAGGCAAGUAACACUUUGAUCAUACCUUUUCUACAACCCAGUUUUAUUGCAUUAGAUCAAUCCUCACACAUUGCAUGAUUAGGAUCUAAUUAAAUUGUGGGAUGGGAAGUAGAUGAGGUAGUACCUAUUACCUGUUUAUUAUCAAACCUUUGGGAGUUACUUCUACGUUUGCUUAUGCCAUGUUAUGCCGGUAGACGUGGAUUGGGUGAGUGAUAUCCAUGACAGAUGUGAGAUUUAUAAUUAAGGGUUAUCUAAGGUGGCAACCUAACACACAUCUGGGUGGAUUGAGGCACCUGGGGUUACCAGGACUUGCCUGUUUUCUUUUGGACCGCCACCCAGGCCCAAAGGGAUCAUGAGAUUUUUCAUACUAGAAACUUCCGUGUGCAGCCACAAGCCAUUAUGGGCUCUGGCAUAGUUGACUAAGUUGUGCGAACUCUUACAGUGGUAGACUAGCAGAUGUAGGGGAAAGUAGGUGUACCGGUCUACCCGUCGUAAGGUGCUAGCGCUUCUGAAAGACUGUGUCUCGGUCAUCCGUUUCUCAAACACCUUGUAGUGCGAGAAACCAAACGGAGGUGAUCGAGUCUUGUGGGGAAAAGUGCGCAAACCUCUGCAGAGUGUAACAAACUAAUCAUGGUUAGCCGUGUCCCUGAUUAUGGACAUCUUGAGUAUCUAUUACCUGGAUUAUCAUGUGAAUCUCAACAUGUUACUCUAAAAUUAAUUUUGUGGGAUUUUAAUGAUGUUACUUAAUUGGGAUUGAGGAUGCUGUCAACCAUUCUCAAUGUUUAACAACCACCAUGAUAGUAAUUAAUUUUAUUCCUUUGAAGUAGGGAAAAAUUGGCUUUACGCAAAAACUGUAACCAUAGAGCUUUCCACCAGCCAAAUAUGCAUAUAGUAUAGUUGUUGCAUUCCAUUACUCUCUAUGUGUUACCUUGCCAGCAUAUUCCAUGUGCUGACCCGUUUCGGGCUGCAACGUUAAUGUUGCAGACUUUUCAGAUGACGAUUGAGGAAUUUUAGGUCGUGGUUCUAUACUCAGUGAUGCCGUUGGAGUUGAUGGACUCACUUAUCUUCCAAGCCUUCCGCUGUUAUCGUUAUUAGAUGGCCUUAAGCCAUAUUUAUUGUAAUAAGUUCUCUUUUGAGACACUCGAUGUAAUAAGUGUGUGAUUGCUACUCUGCUAUAAAUCCUCCGAGUACUGUGUGGUGUCAGCAUUACUGAUCCAAGGAUGACAUCGGAGCACAGAGAUCAGACUGUUUAAGGUCUGGUCGCUACAUAUUCCAGUUGCAAUUGCUUGACCAUCUCAAUUUCCGAGUCACGGCUGGAAUGCACAGGACUGAGAUAGCCGGACAGCAUGUCACUAACAUUCAGAUGAGCAUAGUGAGAGAUAUCAAAUUGUACUUUCUGUCUUUCCAAGGCCUCCUGUUUAGCAGAAUGCCUGGCCAGCACAGUCGGAUUACCCGGCGCAACAAAUCUGCUGCCAGUGAUCAAAACGUCAUGGUCAGAAGAUGCUGGCAGGUUAGCUGAACCGGACGGUCUGACGGUGGAUGGAUCGACAAUGGUUUCGUCAGCUGACGGCUCAGGAGGGUCCAAUUGAGCAUGGACAGCUAAAUCUUCUGGCGCUUCAGAUUGAGUGGGAGGAGUUGAUGUUGCCAGUUCAGGUGCAGGAUUUUUUGGGUCCUCUGCCGGUUUAAUCACCUUGGCUUUCUUGGACUUUGCUUGACCGCUAAGAAAGAUUUUUAUGAAAUAGUUAGUAUAAUGAUGCAGUUUUAAAAAUGUAGAGGAAAGAUGAUUUUCCUUACCCAUGGGCAGUCUUGAAAGCCGGAAAUUGAGUUUGGGAUGAGUCGCCAGAAGAGCGAGAGACCUCCUGCAAAGGUAAAAUAAAGUUAAGAAUAUAAGGAAAUAAAUUCAUGGAUAAAAACAAAGGACAAAGGUGAAAGAAACCUCAUUCUGGCGUUUUUGAGGAGUUUUUUCUAAGUCGAAAGGUGGUUCAUCAUCAUCAUUAGUCCGGGCCAGAUGGCGGCUCUCAUGUUGCUGCUUUUUCAAAAGAAAAUGAGGGUCCAAAUAAGCCAAAGGGUGCAAAAACCUUACUUUCCGGGUUACCAGUCGAAGUUUCUGUCUCGGCAAAGGGGCUGAGUCGUAGGAAAUAGUUACCUCUUCUUCCGCGGCCUGGCUGGCCCCCGUGUCAUCCUGGCAAUAGUCAGUGUCAAUAAGAUAGUUGAAAAUUUGGCCAAGGGAGAAAGGGCUACCUCCGACUCAGAAACAUCAUCAAGCUGGAAGAUGUCAGAUGCAGUCUUCUUCUUGGGCUUCCGGGUCGUUCUCUUGGCGGCUACGGCAGCGGAUCUAGCCUUCUUGGUAGCUUCAUGAUCAUACUUGGCCUUCCAGAAGUCAGAUUUGUCCUGUAAACAAAUAAAGAGGUUAAAAGGUCAUGCAAGUAUUUAAACUACUGAGGUAAACACAAAAAGAGAAAAAGGUCAAGAAGUUACCUCUGGUGUCGGGUUAAGUUUGCAGAAGGGGUUUAAUCCAACCUUGCUGUAGUCCUCGUAUUUGCCAUUCACGAGGAUGGUAGACAUUGCAACAAUGUCUUCUUCAGUUAAUUGUACAGAGCUAUAACGCAGAGAAUCAUUUGGGCCUCCGCCAUACUUAUACAUCAACUUGGAUCGGCGGCUUAGAGGGAUGACCCGCCAUGAGAUCCAGCAAUGGAUCAGGUCAACUCCGGUUAAGCCAUUUCCCAAUAAAGCUUGAAUCCUUUUGACAGAUGGGAUAAGCUUCUUGCGUUCAGCAGUAGUAAGCUUGUCAGGGAGCACAAACUUGGAAUCAAGACGCUCUUCACGAUAACCCGGCAGUGGUUUUUCAUCAGCCGGUGAUGUAUCUUGGCAGUAGAACCAGGUUUGCUUCCAGUCUUUGGGAUGGCUCGGUAAGACCACUAAAGGAAAAACGGCACCUUGUCAGCGUUGAAUUGAAAUUCUGCCAAGUUCCAAGCUAAGGCCGUUGGUGCACUCAUUCUGGCGGUUCAAGUAAAAGUACUCUCUAAAGAGCUCCACAGUUGGUUCUUCUUGAAGAUAUACCUCACAAAGAACUUGAAAAUUGCAGAUGUUGGAUAUAGGGUUGGGUCCAAUAUCUUGUGGAUGAAGCUUGAAAAAAUGCAGGACAUCUUGGACGAACUUUGAGCCGGGUGGUGAGAAGCCCCGGUUCAUGUGAUCUGUGAAAACGAUAACUUCGCCGUCUUUGGACUAAGGUCGUUCUUCGUCCGGGUCAGGAGCACGAUAAGACAUAACGCUUUUCUCUGGCAAAAAUCCAAUGGUGACAAAUUAUUUCAAGGUAUCUUCAGUAACUGUGGAAGGCACCCGGUUGCAGACAGUUGGCGCUUUUGACGGCAUGAUGAAGAAAGGGCAAGCUGAAAAGAAAGUAAUUUGCCGGUUCAAUUUAUUGGUGGAGUUACAGGUUCAUGAUUAUAGUACAGAUGAGUAAUGGCGGCUUAAGUAAGGGCUAAUGACAUGUAAAGGAAAAAUAAGCCGGAGUCAUAAGCCGCCAUGACUAAAAAGUAUUUGAAGGUUGCCAGAAUCAAAAUUGACUAAAGUGUUGAGACAAACAGGUUUCCCAAGUUGUGGCUAUUAUUAUGGAUCAAAAUGGUUCAGAAAAUAAAAAUAAAGUUAGACCUAGAAAACGAGCACAGAGGAGUUUGUCAGCUCUAAAGAGGCAUUUAUACAGGAGAAGGGGAUCUGUUAGCUUCAAAAAUGGAUGAGAAAUAGCUACCUCAUAAGUUUUGUACUACUUUUAGAUCAAAAGAGGGUGCGGUAAGAGAAGUUGCAACGAAUCUAUGACGAACAACGAAGAACACAAGAAGGAAACCUCCCGAACCCUAAUGCAGAUCUAUGGGGGUGAGAAGGUGAGAGCUUACAGGUGCGGAGCUGCUGCGGAGGAUCGCCACCGUUCUCUGGAUAGACUCAGGGUGAUGCUGCGGCCAGAGUUGAGGACGACGGUGCGCUACGGUGGCGACGGAGCUCGAGCGGCAAAGAAGGUGCGAGAGGAAGAAGAAAGAGGAAGGACUGGCCGAGCCUAUUUAUAAGGGGGUAAGUGAACGGGCAGACGCAAAAAUUGAGGAAGACCAAAGUAAUGAUUAUCCAGCUAAAUGGACGCCUCGAUCUUCGGAAAACAUUUAAGAUAAGGAUCCGUUGAAGAUGAAAUCGUGGUGUUUUUCCAAAUUUUUUCAAUCCUAAUGGUUGGUUAAUAAAAUAAGCUCAGUGAAUAUACAAGGCGAUAGUUUAUUAUAAGACUUGUAGUAGGCCCAAGCCCAAAGGCGGUUUAAGGCCCAUAAUUGUAAACCGCCAUGUAUAAGAAAGACUUGUAAAGAAAGGCAUGUAAGAGAAGUCACCGAGCCGAACACGUUAUAUGAGCCGGCCGGGACUCUGUAGGCUGCCAGGCGUCAACCCAUGUAUAUAAGGGGAUGACCCGGUGGCUGCUUAGGACAAGUAACAUCAAAUCAAGAGCCAUGCAUAGCGUAUUUGCUCCCUGAUCAUCGAAACCUAGCAAUAUCACAUCAACUGGACUAGGCUUUACCUUCACCGUAAGGGGCCGAACCAGUAUAAACCUUUCGUGUCCUUUGUCCCGAUUAACCCCUUUAAGCUUCCUAGUUGCGAUGGCUCCACGGCUAAGUCCUUUCACUAGGACAUCAUCCGUGACAAUUCCACGACAACUCUGGUGCGGAUCUUACUAUGGUUGACCUACGAGGUUCAGCGGUAACUUGAUCUGAAGUUUCAUGAUCAUCAUCAUUAGCUUCCUCACUAAUUGGUGUAGGAAUCACUGGAACUAAUUUCUGUGAUGAACUACUUACCAAUUCGGGAGCAGGUACAAUUGCCUCAUCAAGUUCUACUUUCCUCCCACUCACUUCUUUCGAGAGAAAGUCCUUCUCUAGAAAGGAUCCUUUCUUAGCAACGAAUAUAUUGCCUUCGGAUCUGUGAUAGAAGGUGUACCCAACAGUCUCCUUUGGGUAUCCUAUGAAGACACAUUUCUAUGAUUUGGGUUCGAGCUUAUCAGGUUGAAGCUUUUUCACAUAAGCAUCACAGCCCCAAACUUUAAGAAACGACAACUUAGGUUUCUUGCCAAACCACAGUUCAUAUGGUAUCAUCUCAACGGAUUUAGAUGGUGCCCUAUUUAAAGUGAAUGCAGUCUGAAAGUGCGUUAUAUCGACUAGAGGGGGGGUGAAUAGGCGAUUUUUAUGAAAGUCUUCAAAACAUGGAAGUUUCGAAGACAAACGAUAGAAAUAAACCUAUUACCAUGCAGUGGAAGUUAGACUACACUAGAUAAACCGUAGUCAUGUAUUCAAUGAAGUGAAAGGACAAUGACUAAUAGUAGCUAGGUAGUAAGGAUCAGGCAGGAAGAUAUUAAGAAGCCAAACGGAUCACACAGUCACUCAGUGAAGACAAAAGAUAGAGAAAACAUACAAUGACUUCACACAGAGUAACAGUAAGUAAAGAGAAGGGAAGGAUGAAACCAGUGACUCGUUGAAGACAAAGAUUUGUUGGACCAGUUCCAGUUGCUGUGACAACUGUACGUCUGGUUAGGGCGGCUAGGUAUUUAAACCAAAGGACACACAGUCCCGGACACCCAGUCCUGAACACGCAGCUCAGGACAUCCAGUCCUCACCGUAUUCCCCUUGAGCUAAGGUCACACAGACCUCGCCCAAUCACUCUGGUAAGUCUUCAAGGUAGACUCCCAAACCUUCACAGACUUCGUUCACCGGCAAUCCACAAUGUCUCUUGGAUGCUCAGAACGCGAUGCCUAACCAGCUGGAGGAUGCACAGUCCUCAAGUGUAAUAAGUCUUCAGAUCACUCAGACAAGAAGACUUAAGUGAUGCCUAAUUCUCUUUCGCUCUGGGUGGUUAGGGCUUUAUCCUCGCAAGGAAUUCUCUCUCAAAGGCUUCGAGGUGGGUUGCUCUCAAACGACAAAAGCCGUACUUUGAAUCUGAGUAGCCAACCGUUUAUGGUUGUAGGGGGUGGGCUAUUUAUAGCCACUAGGCAACCCGACCUGAUUUGUCCGAAAUGACCCUGGGUCACUAAGGAACUAACAUGUGUUCCAACGGUCAAAUUUCAAACUCACACGGAAACUUUACUUGGGCUACAAGCAAAGCUGACUUGUCCGACUCUGGACAAGAUUUUCUCUCAUAGUCUUCACUCGAAGACAUAGGUUUUUGUUUAAGCAUCACUUUAGUCAUUCUGACUGGCUCUCUUGGACCCCACUUAACAGUAUGUUGGUUCCUAUGACUCAACACAGAAGAAAAAGAACUACGAAAAAUCUAAGUGUUCAAGCUCCAUAGGCUUCAUGCGGUGUCUUCUCUUGUCAUAGUCUUCAAUGUGAAUAUCUUCAUAUACCACCUUUGACAUCAAUGUCUUCAUACACUUUUAGGGGUCAUCUCUGGUGGGAAAACCGAAUCAAUGAGGUACUUCUACCUGUGUUAUCCUGCAAUUCUCACAAACACAUUAGUCCCUCAACUAGGUUUGUCGUCAAUACUCCAAAACCAACUAGGGGUGGCACUAGAUGCACUUACAAUCUCCCCCCUUUUGGUGAUUGAUGACAAACUAGUUGAAGUUUUCAACGGGGAAUAUAAUGUGUGAAAUUGUAAAGGAUAAGGAAUUGUCUUCAUAAGUUACAAGGGCUCCCCCUGAAGAUGUGCAUAUAAGUAAUUUGCUUUUGGAAUGCAAAUGCACAUGGCAGGUUGUGCUUGUGGAGAUCCACUUCAACUUAUGAUGACAAUCCACUAUGCAUGUGAAAGUAUGUGAAGAUAAUGACAUGCAUAAUGGAAAAUGGAUGUCUGCAGAAUGAUCUAAGUGCGGAAUCUAUCAUCGCACAUGCGGAAUUUAUCAUCACAACACAAGGUAGCAAAUAGGUAGCAGACGACCAUCAAGUUUAAGUGUUACAACUCAAAGAACCAAAUGUUUCAAAACGAGAGUUGUAAGCACGAAGCAAAAUAUAAAACACCCGCCCAUAUGGACCCAUUUGAAGACUAUCAAACUCAUAUGCUUCUCCCCCUUUUGACAGUAAGGACCAAAAAGGUUUGAAGACAUAGAGCCUCUACUCGUUCCCAUGAGGAGUAGGUGAAGCAGCAGGAUCGUUGAUGGUGUUUGGCAGUGCAGACGAGCUUGGAGCAGUGUCGACGUGUGCUGAAGGAGGCGGCGAAGAAGUAGCAUCGUCUUCAUCCUCGAUCACUCUGGCAUUCACGGUUGCAGUAGAGGAAGAGAACUCAGGGUCUUCAAGUGAUGGAGUUCGUCGCAGCACAGCCCUGCGAGGAGGUGUGGAGUCAAACUUGAAGCGCUCAGUGAAGCCAUCCUCUUGCAGAUCAUCUUCAGAACACAGCAGCGUCAGCCCUUUCCAUGUGCGUCGAGAUGUUUCAUGAGCAACAAAGGCGUUCUUGGUGGCAAGAUUGUGAAUGCGAUUAACAUCCACCAAGAGGCUUUGCAUUUGACGCUUUAGCCAGUCAUGAUGCCUAUCCUGUUUCUGAUGAAGGGCCACCAGAAGCUCUCGGUCAUUGAGGACACGAGUGCGCUUCUUGGGUCGUUGAGCAAUGGUGCUAUCAGUGGCUUCAGUAAGAGCAGGAUGCGGGGCACGGGUAGUGCCAGCCAAAGGAUACACACGUGUUACUGCUUCAAUGCCUUCAACGUUCCGAGAGAAACUUUGAUGCUCUGCAUUCUGAAGACUUAGAGGUUCCUUGGCAGGCUCAGGAUAUAUGGCUUCAAUAGACAUAUCCACAUCAGGCAAAAAGAUCCGAUGAUUGCGGGCAGAUGGCUGAUAUGAGAUAGCAGAGUGAAGUUUGAUCAGCCGCAUCACCCAAGGGGCGUAGAACUUCAACCCAAAUAGAUCAGAGCCAGAUGCAGCAAGUUGGCGAAUGAAGAAAUCCUAUGUAUUGAAGCAUUUUCCAUGAAGAAUAUAGAAGACCAAAGUCUUCAUUGCACCUUCCAGCUGGGCAUGGGGAGAAUGUCCUUUGAUUGGCCAGAGAGUUCGCCUUAUGAUAUGAUAAAUGGUCCUUGGCAGAUACUCAAGGUCUUCAACAAAGAACUCCGUGGGAUAAGCAGCAUCUUGGGGCAAUGGCUUCAUCAUACUGAGCAUCUGACUCAUAUUGGGUUCAGUCUUCUGAAAGAUGCUCUCAACAGCUUCAAUGUGAAGCUGACAGCCAUGCUCAUAGAGAUCGCCAGGAGUGGGCAAGCCAGUGAGCUCAAUGAUGUCAAAGACUUUGGCUUCGUGAUGAACAUUUCCAGUCAUCCACUCUAGGACCCAAGUCUUUGGAUCUCUGUUAUACCCGCGGAUGUGAAGUGUGGCAUAGAACUGGAGCAGCAACUCUUCAUUCCAAUGCUCUUGGUCAGUGACGAAUGGUAGCAGCCCAACUUCAUUGAAGCAAUCCAAAGCUUCUUCCAGACAGGCAGACCAGCUAUAGCUUCAAUGUCAAGGCGCUUGUGUGGGAAGAUGCGACCUUUGUUGUAAAGAAUGCAUGAGUAAUAGCUUCGCUGCUGAUAGCUCCAGAACCGAUCAGAUGAUAUUCUUUCCCUGGAGUAGGGGUUCCUGGAGCUAUUGAAGAAUGUGUUGUCUGCUCUGAAGCCAUUGAUGUUAAAGGAGCCAGGUGCUAAUGCAGGACCUGGGAACCUGGGCAAUCUUGGGAUUGGCUUCUGGACCUGAGGCCUGUGCUCAACAUGAUAGUCGAAUUGGGGACCGGCAGCAGACGCAGGAACAGGAGCAGCAGGAUUAGUGGCUUCGCUGACUUCUGGUGCUGUUGGGGGUGAGGGCUCCACAUUAGCUUCAGCCAUGACGGUGUCAGUGGCUUCAGUGGUGUUGGUGGUGGCAGCCUCUAGAUUUUCAACCUCCACUUGACGAGCUGGAGGGUCGGUCAUGAUCACGUUCUCCUCGAGAACCGCUUCUUGGUGGGGCAGGGGAGUAGCAGCUUGUGGAACUUCUUCUUCCGUGGCUGAUGCAGCUAGAUUGUCUUCAGCAGAGACUUGAGGCCUUGGACCUUUGUGAAGCCUGCGCAACGCGGGCGAUGCCUGUGGAGCUGGAGUGGGCUGGGCCUCAUAGUCUUCUUCCUCUUGUUGGCGAUCCGCCCAUGAAGCAUCCUGUGCCAUUGGCGUCAGUGGACGACCAAUGCUGAUGAGUUCGUUGUUUUCAAGCUGAGGAAGAACUGCACCAUCUUCUACAUGGUCAUGUUGACCAAUGUCUUCAGCAGUGAUGGGAUCAGCUGUUGGAAAGUCUUUAGCUUUAUGAGCCUCUGUGGAAGCAGGCUCAUGGAUUGUCAGUUGGCGUUCAGCUUCAGGAUAGACCAUUGAAAUAGGUUCAACUAUCAAAGGCUCUGUGGGAGCAGCCUGUUCCUUCUUGGUCUUUCGUUUCUUCUUGGAGGGGGCAGUAGGAGAGGCUUCAGGAUGUUUCCUCUUCCUGGCUUCAGCCUCAGCAGUCCUUGUCUUCUUGAGCUCUGAAGCGGUUGACCGGCUUUUUGGCUUCAAGCCAGUCAGUCUAGUUGGGAAGACAAUCGGAACUGCUUCCUGCCUUGGUGCGUCGGAUUCAGCCGUAGCAGUCUUCUUCUUCUUCUUUGCGGCCAUCCUAGGGUCAAUGCCAGGACGCCCAAGGGCCUUGCGCUUCUCAGCCUCAUUGUAGGCUUGCACACAUCUGUCAGCCAGAGCCUUCAUGCGCUCACGUGAAUCCCGAGCUUCUGCACAUUUCUUCAGAAAGGCUUCCUUGAGCUCGUGCAUCAUGAUCUUGAAGUUCUUCACUUCUUGCACACUGAGCUUGGCCAUAUGCUUCUUGAACUGAGCCUUUUCAUAGUCAAUCUUCUGCUUUAGUUCAACAACGUGUCGGGCGAUGGCUAGCUCUGAAGCAAUGGCGCCUUGGAAGGCGACACUGAGGCCAAUGGGUAGCUGCAGAUCAUCAAAGCUGAUGUUUGGCAUAUCAAACCACUCGUCAAUGAAGUUGUGGAUGAUGGUUACAUCAAAGAGAGGCAGAUCAUUGAAGAUUUCGGCUUCUUCUUUGCUCUUGAUGAGUUGCUCAAGAGCGUCAUCUGCAAGAUCUUCAUCACUUGACAGAUCAAUGUCAUCAUUGCGCAGAAUGGCAGCAGCUGUUAGCUCUUGGCCGGUGUGUGGCAGAGGCAUCUUGGCCUUCUAGGGCUUGGAGAUGCGUGAUAAAUCUUCGGACUGCACACUGUCUUCAGGAGAUGCAGUUGCCAGUGGCUUCGCCCUUGAGAUUUUUGGUGAAGGGGCAGGCUUUGAAGCUUUGGGCUUCUUCAACUUCUUUGGUGUUGGCGCUGCAGGCGCUUCAUCUGAUUCAGCGUUAGCUGCAGGCUCAUUCACGGUUGUCCCUUGAACCAAGAUAUGGGUGAUGAGUCCUGCAAGGUUGUAGAAAGGACCGACGACAUUGGGUUCCGCAUCGCGUGUGCCGUCAGCCCUUGGAGCAGAAGGACCAGGGUUGAAGUCUAAUCCAAAAGACUUCUUGUUCUGCUUUGCUGAGUUCUUGGCAAACUGGAAGUUGCGCUUGAAUAGAUUGUCGUCACGGCACCAUAGUAGUGACGAUGGGUGUGCAUCUGCAGGCUGUGGCCCACGCACCAUGCAGGGAUAGAAGCCUUGUUCAAUGGCUUCUUCUCUGGACCUGGGUUGAAGAUUCUUGUAUAGGAUGUCUCCCCAUGGUCUCUUGAUGGCAUUUCUCUCAGCAUAUUCCUGGGUCACAAACCGGUAUUUGAACCAUUGUUCUGCCCAAUAUCUUCGAAUCCAUUGGAUUCGGGUCUUGCGCUGAUUAUAAUCCUGUUCAGGAUCUGUCUUGUAAAGCUCUGAGAGGUCAUCAGGAAAAUCUCUUGAUGUCCCCCCACGACGCUGUCUGCCACCCUUCCUUACUGAUUUCUCUGCAGCCAUGAACUUCAAACUGAAAGGCUUCAAAACGUUCAAAGGCUUCAAAGGUUUUCGCUUGCUGGACAAACAGGAACUGGCUUCGGGAGAAUUUAUAUGAUGCUGUAAGAAUUCUGCAAAUGAAUGCAGACUAUGAGAACCAAGGGAUUCUCCCAUGGACAUGUACCUGUGACAACAUUAAGGUGCAAGGGAAGGGGAAGAGGUCAUAUGCAUUCUCAGGAGAUUUUGAAGAUAAAUCAGUUUAGAAGACAUUGACCUCAUCGUGCGAAGACAUUCACUCAUAGAUAAGGAGUUGGUUCCAGAUUUGUACGAAUCCAGUGAUCAGUACAAGUGAGGAAUCUAACUACUUGUGAAGCAUAAGUGAAUAUACUAGGCAUGUUAUGAGAUGCAGUAGGAAAGAGAUCCAACUUGUGUGAAUAGAAACUUCUUAUGGUAGAAAGUGACAAAGCCAUAGGAUCAAAAGGGGCCGUAAAAAGAAGUUUUAUUUACCACACUUGGAACUGCUAGAUGGAGUGGAAGAGGAGGCCGAGCAGUUCGAUCUUCUGUGCCCUAACUUGGCGACGAAGGACACCUACGGCGACGGCGGAGAGGACGAUGUCCGCGGUCGGUGUGAAGACGGCGUCGGAGAGGUUGCGGCAGUGAAGCGCUUCGUCGCCGGCGUCGUCGAGGGCUAGCAGUGGCACUAGGGUUCGUGCGAGGGUGGAAGAAGAGAUGAUGACCGCUGUGAAGGGUGUAUUUAUAGGUACAGGGGCGGCACUGCGUUAUUACACAGGUGCCCCUGGCGAUUCACAUCUGAGGAACACGUGGCCAUCAUGCAGUAUAUUGGGGUUUGUUCCACGUCUCACGCACGCCUAGAUUGUCGGGUGGUCGUUCCUACUUCUCCGGGUUUCAUGUGGAGGAAUGGGCAUUGAAAACGGACUUAAUGUUUGUCUCUGUAUGUUCUGCUGACAAGGACGCAGAGAAGACAUUCGACAGUUUCAAUAGAAUGCAUAUGAUUUGGAGAGAUAGAGUUUGAGAUAGAGAGCACAGAGAGGUUAGGGUCCGAUCACAUUCACUUAGAUCAAAAGAUUCAACAAGAAGACAUAGCUAUAAGUGAAUACUGUAGAGGACAGAACACUAGUAUAUAUAUAUAUAUAUAAUCAACAUAGUGAAGAUAAUCAUGAAAACAUGUUGAGAUUGAAACCAAACCAAAUGUGAAGUCAUAGCAAGGUAAUGCCAUGAGUGAAACACUUCAAAUAGAACAUUUGGUGGUGGCGUUACCCACCGUAUAGGAAGUAUUAGACCCAGACACGGCGCACAAUUAUCGUGGCGCUCCGAAGUCAAAUUCCACAUUAAUGUAUUCACACUUAGAAUGUAUGUCUUCAUUGAUUGAAGAUAUACUUUACUUCGUGUGUUGCACAUCUAAGUCAUCAAUAUGCAUAAGGGUUAGGAUGUGUGCCUGAUCACAGGACAUUUGAGGAUUCCAGGAUAUUUAGCUCACAUCGUAACUUGCAAAAUCUCUUCUCAUCCAAGGGCUUGGUGAAGAUAUCUGCCAAUUGCUCUUCAGUGUUGACGUGUAUGAUAUCAAUAUCUUCCUUCACAACAUGAUCUCUGAGAAAGUGAUGACGAAUUUCAAUGUGCUUUGUCUUCGAGUGCUGAACAGGGUUGUUGGCAAUCUUGAUGGCGCUUUCGUUGUCACAGUAGAGUGGCACUUGCUUCAGAUGAAUGCCAUAGUCCUUGAGGGUUUGCUUCAUCCACAGAAGCUGAGCGCAGCAAGAUCCAGCAGCAAUGUAUUCAGAUUCAGCAGUGGAGAGAGAUACACAGUUCUGCUUCUUUGAAGACCAACAUACAGGUGAUCGUCCCAGAAAAUGACAUGUGCCUGAUGUAGACUUGCGAUCCACCUUGUCACCAGCAUAAUCAGCAUCCGAGAAUCCAACCAGAUCAAACUCUGAGCCCUUUGGAUACCAUAAUCCUAGAGUUGGGGUGUGAGCCAAAUAUCGAAGAAUUCGCUUCACAGCUAGGUGAUGCGACUCCUUUGGUGCCGCUUGAAAUCGAGCACACAUGCAAACACUAAGCAUAAUAUCUGGCCUAGAUGCACAUAGAUAAAGCAAAGAACCAAUCAUGGAGCGGUAUACCUUUUGAUCGAACUCUUUACCAUUGUCGUCAGGACCCAGAUGAUGCUUGGCUGGUAUUGGCGUCGUGAACCCUUUGCAGUCUUGCAUACCGAACUUCUUAAGGCAAUCCUUGAGAUGCUUCUCUUGAGAUAUGAAGAUGCCGUUGCGUUGCUGUCGUAUUUGAAUACCGAGGAAAAACUUCAGCUCUCCAUCAUGGACAUCUGAUAUUGCUCUUGCAUCAUAUAUCCAAACUCUUCACUGUACUUCUGAUUGGUGCAGCCGAAGAUAAUGUCAUCCACAUAUAUUUGGCACACAAACAGUUAACCAUCAUAUGUCUUCGUGAAGAGAGUGGGGUCGAGGGAACCAGGUAUGAAGCCUUUGCUCUUCAGGAAGUAUUUGAGUGUGUCAUACCAGGCCCGAGGGGCUUGUUUGAGGCCAUAUAGUGCCUUGUUGAGCUUGUAUACCGUAUCAGGAUGUUUUAGAUCUUCAGAGCCAGGUGGUUGUGCAACAUACACUUCUUCUUCAAUCUUUCCAUUGAGAAAGGCGCUCUUCACAUCCAUUUGAUAAAGAAGUAUGUUGUGAUGAUUUGCAUAGGCCAGCAGUAUGCGUAUGGCUUCAAGUCUAGCCACAGGAGCAAAUGUUUCAUUGAAGUCAAUGCCUUCCACUUGAGUAUAUCCUUGAGCAACUAGACGAGCUUUGUUUCUGACAACUUGACCAUGCUCAUCUUGCUUGUUGCGGUAUAUCCAUUUUGUGCCUAUUAUGUUGUGCUUCCGAGGAUCAGGACGCUUAACCAGUUCCCAUACAUUAUUCAGCUCAAACCGUUGAAGCUCUUCUUGCAUAGCUUGAAUCCAUUCAGGUUCCAUGAAGGCUUCUUCCACUUUCUUGGGUUCUGUUAUUGAGACGAAUGCGAAGUGCCCACAGAAAUUUGCCAGCUGGGUUGCCCUUGAUCGACUGAGCGGACCAGGUGCAUUGAUGCUGUCAAUUAUUCUCUCAAUUUGCACUUCAUUGGCAACACGAGGAUGUACAGGGCGAAGACUUUGCUCUUGCUGAUCAUUGUCGUUGUUGGAGGGAUUGUCUUCAGGUUGAGCAUUGUCUUCAGGUUGAUCUGGUGCAGAGAUGAUGAGUUCCUCUUCAGGAUGAGCUUUAGAAGGUAUGAUUUCUCCAGUUCCCAUUAGCUUGAUUGAUUCACUGGAUGGAACUUCAUCUAGCACAUUUGGCAGGUGCUCUCUUUGUGAACCGUUAGUCUCAUCGAACCGCACAUCCACGGUUUCAACCACUUUAUAAUGAAAGAGGUUGAAGACUCUGUAGGAGUGCGAAUCCUUUCCAUAUCCAAGCAUAAAACCCUCAUGUGCUUUUGGGGCAAACUUUGAAGUGUGAUGUGGGUCCUUGAUCCAGCACCUUGCGCCAAAUACUCUGAAGUAACUGGCAUUUGGCUUCUUGCCAGUGAGGAGCUCAUACGAUGUCUUGUUCAGAAGCUUGUGAAGAUAAACACGAUUGAUUGUAUGGCAUGCAGUAUCAAUGGCUUCAGGCCAGAAUUUUCUUGGAGUCUUGUAUUCAUCUAGCAUUGUUCUGGCCAUCUCAAUGAGUGUUCUGUUCUUGCAUUCGACGACGCCAUUCUGCUGUGGCGUGUACGGGGCUGAGAAUUCAUGUGUGAUGCCCAAGGUAUCAAGAUAUGUAUCAAGGCCAGUGUUCUUGAAUUCAGUGCCAUUGUCACUUUUGAUGUGCUUUAUCUUGGCACCAUAGUUGUUCAUUGCUCGAUUGGCGAAGCGUUUGAAGACAUCCUGCACUUCAGUCUUGUAAAGGAUUAUAUGCACCCAAGUGUAUCUAGAAUAAUCAUCAAUAAUGAAGAAGCCAUAGAGACAAGCAGUAGUAGUAAGAGUUGAGUAAUGAGUGGGACCGAAAAGAUCCAUGUGAAGCAGCUCGAAGGGUCGAGUAGUAGUCAUGAUUGUCUUCGAGGGAUGCUUGGCCCUCGUCAUCUUUCCUGCUUCACAGGCACCGCAUAAGUGAUCUUUCUUGAACUUGACGCCCUCAAUGCCUAUGACAUGCUUCUUCUUUGCCAGGGUGUGGAGGUUCCUCAUGCCAGCAUGCCCAAGCCUCCGAUGCCAGAGCCAGCAUUCUGAAGCUUUUGCUAGAAGACAUACGGCAAGUUGUGGUCCUGCUGAGAAAUCUACCACGUACAGAUCGUCUUUCCGAUACCCUUCAAACACUAGAGACUUGUCAGAUUCCAUUAGAACAAGGCAACAAUAUUUUCCAAAUAUUACGAUCAUGUUCAAAUCGCAUAGCAUUGAGACAGACAUUAAGUUGAAGCCAAGGGAUUCAACAAGCAUGACUUUAUCCAUGUGUUGAUCCUUUGAGAUUGCAACUCUACCUAGACCCAAUACCUUACUUUUACCAGUGUCAGCAAAUGUGAUGUGGCUCUUGUCGGAAGGACGUAAGGUUGAGUCCAUCAGAAGGCUUCUUUUGCCAGUCAUGUGAUUUGUACACCCACUAUCAGUAAUCCAUUCUGUAUACGCUGGUGUCGUACCCUACAGUGCAGUUAGGGGGAUAGGCUUCACGAAGAGAGUUGUGAAGCAAAAACAUUUGACGAACCAGUGGGUUAUGAAAGCUUAGAUCCAGAUUAGUACUGAUAGGGAGAGUAGCAAGCGAUUCAGGAACGAAGUACAUAGUAAGACCAUUCGGCAUUUGAUCUUGCGCCCUACAAGAUGUUUAAGGUCCCCAGCGAUAGCGUCAGAAGAUUUUGGUUUUCUGCUGGAGACCUUUCCCUGCAAAAGAGAGUUAAGCCUUCUUAACAACCCACAUCUUCAAGGGUGGCUUAGAAGCGAUAAGUCUAAGUGCAGAGUCUGAAAACUUUGGCUUUGGGGCUCUAGCAAAAAGUCUUGCAGGUGGACAAUAAUACUCAUAAGAAUAAGCAGAAUAGUUUUUGGUCUUAUGAACAUGGCGGUUCGAUGAACCGCGCUCAUAUUCAUAGGCCUGAGUAUGGUUUCCCUGCAAAACAUUUGCAUUAGUCCGACUCAGGUGAGUCCUCUGUCUGUAUGAAGCCUUUGGGCCAUAUGAAGCCUGUGGUCUGGGGUUUGUCUUCUUCAUCUAUGGUGUCAUGAUGACAUUCACAGGAAGAUUUUCCAAACACCUUUUGGGCACCCAGACCUUCUUCAUAGGCGGUCCAUUCCUGCAGUUAGUACCAAUGUACCUGGCAAAAACUUCACCAUUCUGAUUCUUAAAUAGUUUAUAGUUUGCAUCAAAGGAUUCAUCAAUGACAAUGGGGUUAGCACAAGUGAAGCCAGAUAGACUGGAUGGAUUUGCUGAAGGUUCCUUUGCAGCAACCCAUGUGGUUUUGGGAUACUGCUCGGGUUUCUAGUAAGAGCCAUCAGCAUUCAUUUUCCUUAUGAACCCAACACCCUCUUUCCUCGGGUUUCGGUUCAGAAUCUGCCUUUUGAGGACAUCACAUAGUGUCUGAUGCCCUUUAAGACUUUUGUACAUCCCUGUUUCAAGCAAUGUCUUCAACCUAGCAUUCUCAUCAGCAAUCGCAGUAGUAUCCUCAGUAGAGGGGUUAGUUACCACAUCAACAGUUGAAGAUAUUGCAACAGUAGCAGUAGUAGAACAUUCAGCAACAGAAGCAGCAUUAUCACGCUCAAUGCAUUUAAGACAUGGUGGUUCAAAUCCUUCCUGAGCGGAACUGAUCUGUUCGGCGCGAAGUGACUCGUUUUCCUUUUGAAGAUCUUCAUGAGCCGCUCUCAAUUUCUCAAGAUCUUGCUUCCUUUGAAGAUAAUCAUAGGAAAGCUUUUCAUGAGUUGUUGAGAGCGUUUCAUGACAACUUUCAAGUUCCUCAUAUUUAACGUGAAGAUUUUUUAUGUCUUGAAUUAAGGAUUCAGAUCGAGUCAUUUCAACGCCCAACAAAUCAUCGCUUUUGUCUAACAGUUUUUGAAUAUGUUCCAUGGCUUUCUGUUGUUCAGUUGCAAUUUUAGCAAGUGUUUUGUAGCUGGGUCUUGAAUCACAAUCAGAGUCAUCAUCACUAGAUGUUUGAUAGUGAGUAGUGCGUGUGUUUACCUUGGCACCGUGUGCCAUGAAGCAGUAGGUAGGAGCAGAGUCGUCCUUGUCAUUUGCAUCGGCGUCGGUGGUGAAGUCAUUGUCUUCAGUGUUGAAGAUGGACUUGGCAACGUAUGCUGUAGCCAGACUUGCAACACCAGAAUCGGACUCCUCCUCAGACUCCACCUCCGCCUCCUCAGACGCGGACUCCUCCUCUGAAUCCAUUUCCUUGCCAACAAACGCACGUGCCUUGCCAGAUGAGCUCUUCUUGUGUGAUGAAGACUUUGAGGAAGACUUGGAAGAAGACUUUGAGUAUUUCUUCUUCUUCUUGUCGUCAGAGUCAUAUUCCUUGCUCUUCUUCUUCUUUCUAUUCUCAUUGUCCCACUGCGGACACUCAGAGAUGAAGUGGCUAGUUUUCUUGCACUUGUGACAUGUUUUCUUCUUGUAGUCAUGAGCAGAAGCUUCAUCAUUCCUUGAGCUUGAUCGUGAAGACUUUCUGAAGCCUUUCUUCUUGGGGAAUCUUUGGAACUUCUUUACAAGCAUAGCAAGUUCCUUUCCAAUGUCUUCAGGAUCGUCAGAACUGCUGUCAGAUUCUUCUUCAGAUGAGGAGACAACUUUUGCCUUCAGGGCACGAGUUCGCCCAUAGUUUGGACCGUAGAUAUCUCUUUUCUCAGAAAGCUGAAACUCAUGUGUGUUGAGCCUCUCAAGUAUGUCGGACGGAUCGAGUAUCUUGAAAUCAGGUCGUUCUUGAAUCAUCAGGGCUAGGGUGUCAAACAAACUGUCAAGUGAUCUCAGUAGUGUCUUGACGACUUCAUGCUUGGUGAUCUCAGUGGCGCCGAGCGCUUGAAGCUCAUUUGUGAUGUCAGUGAGUCGGUCAAAUGUGAGCUGGACAUUCUCAUUGUCAUUUCGCUUGAAGCGGUUAAAGAGGUUGCGAAGAACGCUGAUUCUCUGAUCUCUCUGGGUUGAGACGCCUUCGUUGACCUUGGAGAGCUAGUCCCAGACCAGCUUCGAUGUUUCCAAAGUGCUCACACGGCCAUACUGUCCUUUGGUCAGAUGACCACAGAUAAUGUUCUUGGCAGUAGAGUCCAGUUGAACGAACUUCUUGACAUCAGCAACAGUGACACCUUCUCCAGCCUUGGGAACGCCGUUCUUGACGACAUACCAUAGGUCGACGUCAAUGGCUUCAAGAUGCAUGCGCAUCUUAUUCUUCCAGUAGGGAUAUUCAGUUCCAUCGAAGACGGGGCACGCAACGGAGACUUUAAUUAUCCCUGCAGUCGACAUAGCUAAAACUCCAGGUGGUUAAACCGAAUCACACAGAACAAGGGAGCACCUUGCUCUCAUACCAAUUGAAAGUGCAUUAUAUCGACUAGAGGGGGUGACUAGGCGAUUUUUAUGAAAGUCUUAAAAACAUGGAAGUUUCGAAGACAAAUGAUAGAAAUAAACCUAUUACCAUGCAGCGGAAGUUAGACUACACUAGAUAAACCAUAGUCAUGUAUUCAAUGAAGUGAAAGGACAAUGACUAAUAGUAGCUAGGUAGUAAGGAUCAGGCAGGAAGAUAUUAAGAAGCCAAACGGAUCACACAGUCACUCAGUGAAGACAAAAGAUAGAGCAAACAUACAAUGACUUCACACAGAGUAACAGUAAGUAAAGAGAAGGGAAGGAUGAAACCAGUGACUCGUUGAAGACAAAUAUUUGUUGGACCAGUUCCAGUUGCUGUGACAACUGUACGUCUGGUUAGGGCGGCUAGGUAUUUAAACCAAAGGACACAUAGUCCCGGACACCCAGUCCUGAACACGCAGCUCAGGACACCCAGUCCUCACAGUAUUCCCCUUGAGCUAAGGUCACACAGACCUCGCCCAAUCACUCUGGUAAGUCUUCAAGGUAGACUCCCAAACCUUCACAGACUUCGUUCACCGGCAAUCCACAAUGUCUCUUGGAUGCUAUAACGCGACGCCUAACUGGCUGGAGGAUGCACAGUCCUCAAGUGUAAUAAGUCUUCAUAUCACUCAGACAAGAAGACUUAAGUGAUGCCUAAUUCUCUUUGGCUCUGGGUGGUUAGGGCUUUAUCCUCGCAAGGAAUUCUCUCUCAAAGGCUUCGAGGUGGGUUGCUCUCAAACGACAAAAGCCGUACUCUGAAUCCGAGCAGCCAACCGUUUAUGGUUGUAGGGGGUGGGCUAUUUAUAGCCACUAGGCAACCCGACAUGAUUUGUCCGAAAUGACCCUGGGUCACUAAGGAACUGACACGUGUUCCAACGGUCAGAUUUCAAACUCACACGGCAACUUUACUUGGGCUACAAGCAAAGCUGACUUGUCCGACUCUGGACAAGAUUUGCUCUCAUAGUCUUCACUCGAAGACAUAGGUUUUUGUUUAAGCAUCACUUCAGUCAUUCUGACUGGUUCUCUUGGACCCCACUUAACAGUGCGGUGGUUCCUAUGACUCAACACAGAAGAAAAAGAACUACGAAAGAUCUAAGUCUUCGAGCUCCAUAGGCUUCAUGCAGUGUCUUCUCUUGUCAUAGUCUUCAAUGUGAAUAUCUUCAUAUACCACCUUUGACAUCAAUGUCUUCAUACAUUUUUAGGGGUCAUCUCUGGUGGGAAAACCAAAUCAAUGAGGUACUUCUACCUGUGUUAUCCUGCAAUUCUCAUAAACACAUUAGUCCCUCAACUAGGUUUGUCGUCAAUACUCCAAAACCAACUAGGGGUGGCACUAGAUGCACUUACACAGUCGUCUCUAAAGCAUAACCCCAAAAUGAUAGCAGUAAAUUAGUAAGAGACAUCAUAGAUCGCACCAUAUCUAAUAAAGUGCGGUUACGAUGUUCGGACACACCAUUAUGUUGUGGUGUUCCGUGUGGCGUGAGUUGCGAAACUGUUCUGCAUUGUUUCAAAUGAAGACCAAACACGUAACUCAAAUAUUCACCUCCACGAUCAGAUUGUAGAAACUUUAUUUUCUUGUUACGAUAUUUUUCCUCUUCACUCUGAAUUUUUUUGAACUUUUCAAAUGUUUCAGACUUAUGUUUCAUCAAGUAGAUAUACCCAUAUCUGCUCAAAUCAUCUGUGAAGGUCAGAAAAUAACAAUACCCGCCGCGAGCCUCAACACUCAUCGGACCGCAUACAUCCGUAUGUAUUAUUUCCAACAAGUCUAUUGCUCACUCCAUUGUUCCGGAGAAUGGAGUCUUAGUCAUCUUGCCCAUGAGGCAUGGUUCGCAAGCAUCAAGUGAUUCAUAAUCAAGUGAUUCCAAAAGUCCAUCAGCAUGGAGUUUCUUCAUGCGCUUUACACCAAUAUGACCUAAACGGCAGUGCCACAAAUAAGUUGCACUAUCAUUAUUAACCUUGCAUCUUUUGGCUUCAAUAUUAUGAAUAUGUGUGUCACUAUUGUCGAGAUUCAAUAAAAAUAGAUCACUCAUCAAGGGUGCAUGACCAUAAAAGAUAUUACUCAUAUAAAUAGAACAACCAUUAUUCUCUGAUUUAAAUGAAUAUCCGUCUCGCAUCAAACAAGAUCCAGAUAUAAUGUUCAUGCUUAACGUUGGCACCAAAUAACAAUUAUUCAGGUCUAAAACUAAUCCCGAUGGUAGAUGUAGAGGUAGCAUGCUGACGGCGAUCACAUCGACUUUGGAACCAUUUCCCACGCGCAUCGUCACCUCGUCCUUAGCCAAUCUUCGCUUAAUCCGUAGCCCAUGUUUCGAGUUGCAAAUAUGAGCAACAGAACCAGUAUCAAAUACCUAGGCGCUACUACGAGCAUUAGUAAGGUACACAUUAAUAACAUGUAUAUCAAAUAUACCUUUCACUUUGCCAUCCUUCUUAUCCAUCAAAUACUUGGGGUAGUUCCGCUUCCAAUGACCAGUCCCUUUGUAGUAGAAGCAUUCAGUCUCCGGCUUAGGUCCAGACUUGGGCUUCUUCACUUGAGCAACAACUUGCUUGUCAUUCUUCUUGAAGUUCCCCUUCUUCCCUUUGCCCUUUUUCUUGAUACUGGUGGUCUUGUUGACCAUCAACACUUGAUGCUCCUUCUUGAUUUCUACCUCUACAGCCUUUAGCAUUGCGAAGAGCUCGGGAAUUGUCUUAUCCAUCCCUUGCAUAUUAUAGUUCAUCAUGAAGCUUUUGUAGCUUGGUGGCAGUGAUUGAAGAACUCUGUCAAUGACACUAUCAUCAGGAAGAUUAACUCCUAGUUGAGUCAAGUGGUUGUGGUACCUGGACAUUUUGAGUAUAUGUUCACUAACAAAACUAUUCUCCUCCAUCUUACAGCUGUAGAACUUAUUGGAGACUUCAUAUCUCUCAAUCCGGGCAUUUGCUUGAAAAUUUUACUUCGACUCCUGGAACAUCUCAUAUGCUCCAUGAUGUUCAAAACGUUGUUGAAGUCCCGAUUCUAAGCCGUAAAGCAUGGCACACUAAACUAUCGAGUAGUCAUCGGCUUUGCUCUACCAGACGUUCAUAAUGUCCGGUGUUGCUUGAUACGUCUCCGUCGUAUCUACUUUUCCAAACACUUUUGUCCUUGUUUUGGACUCUAACUUGCAUGAUUUGAAUGGAACUAACCCGGACUGACGCUGUUUUCAGCAGAAUUACCAUGGUGUUAUUUAUGUGUAGAAAUAAAAGUUCUCGGAAUGACCUGAAACUUCAGGGAACGUCUUUUUGGAAAUAAUAAAAAAUCCUUGCAAAAGAUGAAGACCAGGGGGCCCACACCCUAGCCACGAGGGUGGGGGCGCGCCUGCCCCCCUAGGCGCGACCCCUACCUUGUGGGCCCCCUGGAGCUCCUCCGACCUCAACUCCAACUCUAUAUAUUUGCUUUCAGGGAGAAAAAAAUUAGAGAGAAGGAUUCAUCGCGUUUUACAAUACAGAGCCGCCGCCAAGCCCUAAAACCUCUCAGGAGGGCUGAUCUGGAGUCCGUUCGGGGCUCCGGAGAGGGGAAUCCGUCGCCAUCGUCAUCAUCAACCUUCCUCCAUCACCAAUUUCAUGAUGCUCACCGCCGUGCGUGAGUAAUUCCAUCAUAGGCUUGCUGGACGGUGAUGGGUUGGAUGAUAUUUAUCAUGUAAUCGAGUUAGUUUUGUUAGGGUUUGAUCCCUAGUAUCCACUAUGUUGUGAGAUUGAUGUUGCUAUGACUUUGCUAUGCUUAAUGCUUGUCACUAGGGCCCGAGUGCCAUGAUUUCAGAUCUGAACCUAUUAUGUUUUCAUCAAUAUAUGAGUGUUCUUGAUCCUAUCUUGCAAGUCUAUAGUCACCUACUAUGUGUUAUGAUCUGGCAACCCCGAGGUGACAAUAAUAGGGACCACUCCCGGUGAUGACCGUAGUUUGAGGAGUUCAUGUAUUCAUUAUGUGUUAAUGCUUUGGUCUGGUACUCUAUUAAAAGGAGGCCUUAAUAUCCCUUAGUUUCCGCUAGGACCCCGCUGCCACGGGAGGGUAGGACAAAAGAUGUCAUGCAAGUUCUUUUCCAUAAGCACGUAUGACUAUAUUCGAAAUACAUGCCUACAUUACAUUGAUGAAUUGGAGCUAGUUUUGUGUCACCCUAGGUUAUGACUGUUACAUGAUGAACCGCAUCCGGCGUAAUUCUCUAUCACCGAUCCAUUGCCUACGAGCUUUCCAUAUAUUGUUCUUCACUUAUUUACUUUUCCGUUGCUAUUGCUAUCAUCACUACAAAAUACCAAAAACAUUAAUUUUGCUAUCGUUACCUUUUGCUACCGUUACCACUACUAUCAUAUUACGUUGCUACUAAACACUUUACUACAGAUAUUAAGUUUCUAGGUGUGGUUGAAUUGACAACUCAACUUUCAACUGCUAAUACUUGAUAAUAUUCUUUGGCUCCCCUUGUGUCGAAUCAAUAAAUUUGGGUUGAAUACUCUACCCUCGAAAACUGUUGCGAUCCCCUAUACUUGUGGGUUAUCAAGACUAUUUUCUGGCGUCGUUGCCGGGGAGCAUAGCUCUAUUCUUUGAGUCACUUGGGAUUUAUAUCUGUUUAUCAUUAUGAAGAACUUGAGAGAUCCAAAAACCAAGAUUUAUCUCUCAACUACGAGGGGAGGUAAGGAACUGCCAUCUAGCUCUGCACUUGAUUCACCUUCUAUUUUGAGUAAGCUUGCGACACCUAAACCUGCUUCUGCUAUUCAUUCUGAUAUGUCGCAUGUUAUUAAUGAUGCCACUUGUGCUAUGCAUGAUACUUAUGAUGAAACUACUUCUAUGCUUGAUACUACUGUGCCACUUGGUGAAUUUCUUGAUGAACAACUUGCUAGGGUUAGAGAGAAUGAAAUUAUUGAAACUGAUAAUAUAUAUAUAUAUAUUUGAAUAUAUACUGUAGGGUAAAACCCCCACAGCCCUUUAUUGCAGUCUCAAAAAACAAACUGUACAGUGAAAGAAAGAGAUGACAAGCCUAAACGAAAAGUUAAGAAGAACUUACAAUUACAUGAGGGAGUUAACUCAAUCUACAAGCCUAGACUUAGAGCUAUCCUUAAACCUAUGUGACAGGAGAAGAAUGUCAUGUACAAAACUGCCCCUCCAGGCAACAAAAGUAGCCCGUAGUCCCCUGAAAGUUCUUCCAUUUCUCAGAAUCCAUAUAUUCCAAGCAGCUGUGAGCAUAACUUCAAAGAAGAAAGGAUACCCAAAUCGCUGCCUUGCUUGAGAUAUACAUUGCUGAAUAGAAGAACCAUGUGACCAAUCGAUCUGCAGGUAUUUCCAAACCCUGGCACUGAAAUUACAACCAAAGAAUAGGUGAGCCCUGUCCUCCCAAACAAAGGCAUUACAGAUGACACAUAGAUGAUCAGCCGUAGGGGACCUCCGGUGGCUGCGGACCAGCACGUCCUUUGUGUUGAGUCUGUCAAAGAAUAGGAGCCAGCCAAAAACCUUAAUUUUCAUAGUACAUAUGCUCUGCCAAAGCCACCUGCAGGGUUUAAUAGUUGGGAGGUGUGUAUGCAUGAUGUCAUAGAAGCUCUUUGCAGAAAACUGUCCAGAUUUACCAGGCCAAAUCCAAACAUCAGGCAAUGUUGGAUCUCUCUGGAGAUUGAACAUCCUUCCUUCCAAGGAUUCCAAUUCUGCUGCUGCCUGCUGAGAAAUUGGCAGAUGAAACAUUGAGAACAAAUCCUGGGUUUGCAAAAACUCCCUGACAGAAACCUUAUCAUCCAAAACAAAAGAGAAAAGCCUUGGUAAUCUGAGGCUUAGUGGCCUUGAAGAGCCACCUACAUGGCAAGCAUCCAGCCAAAAGAGAGCAGAAUCACCCAUAUUAACUGGCACUGAAGCAAUUGACCUAUAAGUGUCAGCAAGCUUGAGAAUGUCCUUCCACCAAAAGGAGCCAGUUAGGACUGUUGCAUGGGGCACCACUCCAUCAUAAUAACUAUCCCAAAUCAACUGGACCCAAGGAAUCUGCUGUUUGUUGUAGAACUUAUGCAUUUGUUUGAGAAGCAGACCUUGAUUUUGAACAUUGAGGUUGAGAAUGCCAAGUCCUCCCUUAUCCUUUGGUCUGCAAACUAAAUCACAGGCAGCUAGGGAUUGCUUAGGCACAUCAGAAUUUCCUCUCCACAAACACUGCCUGAAAAUCCUAUCCAACUGUUUGAUAAUACCAGGUGGGAUAUGCAAGCUGCAGAGGAAGUAUAUGGGCAUUGAAGUAAGCACAGAUGUGAGAAAUUGUAACCUGGAUCCUUGGUUGAGCAUGGCAGAGCUAACAGACAGUCUUCUUUCAAGACUAUCCACUAAAGGCAUGAAAUCAAUGAUUCUAGGUCUUGUUGUACCAAGAGGCAAACCCAGAUAUGUGAAAGGUAACUGCUCCGGUUUACAUCCCAGGAUGGAAGACAACCUCUGUGCCUCUGUGGGAUCAACAUUUAGUGGCACCAUUGAAGACUUUCCAAAAUUUACCUUUAGGCCAGUAGACUGUUGGAAAAUAUGGAGCAUGUUCUUGAGAGCCACCAACUGGUCCUGUACUGCAGAAAGGAUAAUUAUUGUGUCAUCUGCAUACUGAAUGAUAGGAAAUUCAGGGUCCUAAGAUGGGAUUGGAAGUGUUAGAACUCCCUUAGCCAGCAUGUUAUUGACCAUUGUUUGAAGAAGAUCGGCAGCUAUGACAAAUAAAAGAGGGGAUAGGGGAUCCCCCUGCCUGACCCCACAUUUAUAUUUGAACUGUUUGCCAGGCACCCCAUUAAGCAAAACAGAUGAUGAUCCUGAGGAGAGAAUCUCUUUAAUCCAAGAAAUCCAUUUGGCAUCAAAACCUUUGUGCUGUAGAACUUGCAAGAUGAAGUCAUGCUCCACAGUGUCAAAAGCUUUGGCAAAAUCCAAUUUCAAAAUGAUGGUUGGCCUUUUGGAUUGAUUGCAUUGAUGUAUAUAUUCAAAAGCCCAAGCCAGGCAGUCCUGAAUGGCUCUGCUCUUCAAAAACCCAUAUUGAUUCUUAUGGAUGCAUUGCAGAAUGACCUUUUGAAGCCUAUUUCCCAAAAGCUUAGUAAGGAACUUGAGGCAUGUGUUAGUAAGAGAGAUUGGUCUAAAAUCCUCAAGUCCUUCAGGAGACAACAUCUUUGGAAUUAAGGUGAUAAGGGAUCCAUUAAUAUUUUCCAAAGAUAGCCUCCCAUCAUAAAACCCCUGAAUGAGAGCCAAGAAAUCCUUCUCAAUGAUGGGCCAACACUUCUUAACAAAAAGACCAUUAAAACCGUGAAAGUGAUGAUGAAGAUUCUCCCCCUAAUAAAUAUGAAUUGCCUGUUGUGCCUGAGGGCUAUGUUAUGGAUGAAGAAAUUGCUAAAGCUAUUUUUGUUUGCAAAGAUAGAUAUGAUCUUAAGAAGUUAUUAGCUAAAUGGAAGCAGCAAUCUCUUAAUGCUAGAAUGAAACCUGACCCUGCUUUUGCUACUUCACCUAUCUGUGUUACUGAUAAGGAUUAUGAAUUCUCUGUUGAUCCUGAUAUAAUUACUUUGGUUGAAUCUGAUCCUUUUCAUGGCUAUGAGUCUAAAACUGUUGUGGCACAUCUUACUAAAUUAAAUGAUAUAGCCACCCUAUUCACUAAUGAUGAGAGAACUCGUUACUUUUAUAUCCUUAAAAUAUUCCUGUUCUCAUUAAAGGGUGAUGCUAAGAUAUGGUUUAAUUCUCUUGAUCCUGGUUGUGUGCGUAGUCCCCAGGAUAUGAUUUAUUACUUCUCUGCUAAAUAUUUCACUGCUCAUAAGAAACAAGCUGCUUUGAGGGAUAUAUAUAAUUUUGUGCAAAUUGAAGAAGAGAGUCUCCCACAAGCUUGGGGGAGGCUUCUCCAAUUACUUAAUGCUUUGCCUGAUCAUCCUCUUAAGAAAAAUGAAAUAUUGGAUAUAUUUUAUAAUGGACUAAGUGAUGCUUCCAGAGAUUACCUGGAUAGUUGUGUUGGUUCUGUUUUCAAGGAAAGAACACCGGAUGAAGCUGAAAUUCUAUUGAAUAAUAUGUUGACAAAAGAAAAUAAUUGGACACUUCCUGAGCCAGCUCCUGAGCCUAUUCCUAAACCAACUCCGAAGAAGAGGGGUAUUCUAUUUCUCAGUCCUGAAGAUAUGCAAGAGGCAAAGAAAUCCAUGAAAGAAAAGGGUAUUAAAGCUGAAGAUGUUAAGAAUUUACCUCCUAUUGAAGAAAUACACGGUCUUAAUUUACCGCCUGUUGAAGAAACAUAUGAUCUUAAUCCAUUACCUAUUGAAGAAAUACAUGGUCUUGAUAACCCGACACAAGUAGUAAAGGUAAACUCUCUCUAUAGAUAUGAUAAAAUUGAAAUCCCUCUUACUAAGUUUGCUAGCCAAUGCUUAGAUGAGUUUGAUAAUUUUAUGGUGAAGCAAGAAGAUUUUAAUUCUUAUUUUGGUAGACAAUUGAAAUACAAUUCAAAUAUGCUUGAACACUUGGGUGAUUAUAUGGCUAAUGUUAAAGGUGAAAUUAAACUUAUUAGCAAACAUGCUUCUAUGGUUACCACUCAAGUAGAACAAGUACUUAAAGCUCAAAAUGAUUUGCUCAAUGAACUGAAUAGUAAGAAUAAUGAUAAUGCUGUUAGAGUUAUGACUAGAGGUGGUAAAAUGACUCAAGAACCUUUGUAUCCUGAAGGCCAUCAUAAGAGAAUUGAGCAAGAUUCUCGGAGAAAUAAUAUAGAUGCACCUAGUUCUUCUAAAAGGAAGAAAAAGAAAAAUGAUAGGACUUUGCAUGCUUCUAGUGAACCUAUUGAUGAAACACCUGAGAAUCCAAAUGAUAUUUCUAUUUCUGAUGCUGAAACACAAUCUGGUAAUGAACCUGAAACUAGUGAUAAUAUUAAUGAUAAUGUUCAUGUUGAUGCUCAACCUAGCAAUGAUAAUGAUAUAGAAAUUGAACCUGUUGUUGAUCUUGAUAACCCACAAUCAAAGAAUCAACGUUAUGAUAAGAGAGACUUUGUUGCUAGGAAACAUGGUAAGGAAAGAGAGCCUUGGGUUCAGAAACCCAUGCCUUUUCCUCCCAAACCAUCCAAGAAAAAGGAUGAUGAGGAUUUUGAGCACUUUGCUGAAAUGAUUAGACCUACCUUUUUGCGUAUGCGAUUAACUGAUAUGCUUAAAAUGAAUCCUUAUGCUAAGUACAUGAAAGAAAUUGUUACUAAUAAAAGAAAGAUACCGGAAGCUGAAAUUUCCACCAUGCUUGCUAAUUAUACUUUUAAAGGUGGAAUACCUAAGAAACUAGGAGAUCCCGGAGUACCAACUAUACCAUGCUCCAUUAAAAGAAAUUAUGUUAAAAUUGCUUUAUGUGAUCUUGGAGUCGGUGUUAGUGUUAUGCCUCUCUCUUUAUAUCAUAGACUUGAUUUGAAUAAGUUGACACCUACUAAAAUAUCUUUGCAAAUGGCUGAUAAAUCAACUGCUAUACCUAUCGGUAUUUGUGAGGAUGUGCCUGCUGUGGUUGCAAACGUUACUAUUUUAAUGGACUUUGUUAUUCUUGAUAUUCCCGAGGACGAUAGUAUGUCUAUUAUUCUUGGAAGACCCUUUUUGAAUACUGCAGGGGCUGUUAUUGAUUGCAACAAAGGCAAUGUCACUUUUCAUGUUAAUGGUAAUGAGCAUACGGUACACUUUCCGAGGAAACAACCUCAAGUCCACAGUAUCAAUUCUAUUGGAAAAAUUCAAUCGAUUAUUUUUGAAGGUUUUGAAUUUCCUCUUCCUACUGUCAAAAGAAAUAUGAUAUUCUUAUUAUUGGGGAUGUGCAUAUCCCCGUUGAGGUAACAUAGUGUUAUUCGAAAUUCCUCCGGUUCCAUGUUAUUCGGAAUGAGUUUGCUAACAAGACUUGAUCAACCAUGUUAACGGAUUCCUUUUGAUGAGCAUGAGAUGGAUGAAACUAGAAGGCACAACUCUCCGUACCCUCCUUUUACUUUCUGUUAUUUAUAUUAAAUAAAAUUAAAAGAAGUAUUUUCCGUCUGUUAUCUGAUUUAUCCGUGCAAUAUAAAAUACCCCGAAAAUAAAAGUUCUCCAAAUGCCUUGAAAUUUAAAUAUGAUUUUUUCUGGAAUAUUUGAGAAUAUUUGGCACUAAGAACACAACACAGGGGGCAUCCACCUGGCCACGAGAGUGGAGGGCGCGCCCUACCCCCCCUGUGCGUGCCCCUUGCCUCGUGGGCCCACGGUGGCCCUCCUCCACUUAUUCCUGCACCCACACACUCCUUCCUCCCAUAAACACGAUUAUCCAGUUCGAACCCAAGUCCAAGCUCAUUUUGCUGCUAUUUUCGAUCUCCUUGCUCAAAGCACCUCUCACAAAACUGCUUGGGGGGAUUGUUCCUUGGUAUGCGACUCCUCCAUUGGUCCAAUUAGUUUUUGUUCUAGUGCUUUAUUCAUUGCAAAUUUAUGUUGUCUAGGUGCCCAUGUUCCUGAGCUUGCAUGUCAAAUUUAUGUGGUUCCAACUAGUUUUGAUGCAUGAUAUAGGCUCUAGGCACUUGUAGGAGUUGUUGCUAUCAAUUUUGUUGAGCUUGGCUCACUUUUAUUUGAAGUUACUAAAAAUUUCAGAAUUUUUCAGAAAAUAAUGAAGAGAUUUUUGAGGGGCUCAUCAAGCCGAAGCUCGAAGGAAAAGCAAAAUGAAAAAGCAGAGAGGCCCGAAUAUAAUCUGCCUCGCACCGCAGAGGUUCGGCCGUGUGAAUGGCCUUCCAAUGAUUUCUUGAGAGCAGUCGGGAUUUAUGAUGAUUUUUAUGAAUUGGCUGAGAAUGUAGGCCUCACCGCCUUCCUCCAUGACCAACGCGAACAAUAUCUCUUACUCACCAAUAUCUUUGUGCAAAACUUUCAUUUCCAUGCUAGGAGCUCACCACCUACGGUGGAGUUUUAUUUGUAUGAUGAGCACAAGGAGAUGUCACUUUACGAUUUCUGUCGGGUUUGAUUGAUCCCUUUCGAGGGCACAAUAGAGGAACCACACCGCGGUGAUGUGGAUGGGUUUAUAGAUACCAUCACUGUAGGGGAAACGAGGAAGGUUUCCGAUGCACGAAUCACUAGCAUACAUUUUCCUGUUUUACGCUACUUUGCAAUAUUUGCUAGUCGUUGCUUAAUUGGUCGCGAAAACUGUGGAAACCUUAGUGUUCCUGAUAUUAUUAUUUUGUUCCACGGUUUAUUCUGUGAUAAAUCUGUUAGUAUGGGCGGUAUUAUUGCUAAACGGUUAAGUCUCAACUGUACAAAGGGCCCCAUCUUUGGAGGCAUCUAUGCUUCACGCCUAACUGCGCAUUUUAACAUACCUAUUAAGCAUUAUGAGAAGGAAGAAAAAUUGCUGCCCCUGUUUAUUUAGAUUAUAAGAGUAUGGUGGCACACGAUUUUAUUGUUAAGAAUAGGAAAGGGGAGCUUAAAUACAAAUUGUUCUUUGAUAAACAUCAUCCUGAGACUAUUACCCUGCCUACUCCUUCCUUGUUUGAUUUAUCUCCAGGCAAGUACCUUGUUCCGUUAGAGGCUAUUCACGCCUACCGGAACAUUGCAUCAGCCACAGAGCCAGAGUCGGAACCACUAGUUGAUCCUCCACGACAGUCUAAUUACCAUUGGGAUCCAGAAAUGAUAGCCACCAGUGGAAAUCAGAGUCUUCUUCGCAGUACGACCCCAACUAUUACUAUGGAUAUCCGCCAGGCCAGCCGUGGCCAUAGACCAACUUAGGUCAAAAGCCUAAACUUGGGGGAGUACGUAUUUCCCGCCGACAUUACAUUCAUGUUCGCACACUCAUUGCUAGAUGUCGGUGCUCAUACUUUUUCAUUGUAUCAUCCAUGCUAGUUCAUUUCCUUUUUAAGCUUUCUUCUUGUGUGUUUAAUAAACCUUAAGAAAAACCAAAAAAACUAGUUGUAGCUUUUAGCUAGUUUUAAUUUCCAUGCUUGUAGUAGUAAUUAAAAAGAAAACCCAAAAAAAGAUUUCUUGUUCUUGUUUUGCUCGUUGGGAGCUUUCCCGUGUAAAUAGUUUUAUUUCUUUUCUUUGGGGGUCGAUAGGAGAAUACCAUGAUUAAAUUGUUGAAGUGGCUCUUAUAUAUAUUUUUUAUCUGACAAAAGAGCCCAUAUUGCCUUGUCUUCUCCAGUUUAUUGAAUGCUUGCAGAUUCCAGCUUAGUCCAAUGCACGCGCACUAUUAUUAUUAUCCACAUCGUUCGGUCGUGCAAGUGAAAGGCAAUUAUGACAAUAUAUGAUGGACUGACUGAGAUGAGAAAAGCUGGUAUAAACUCAACCUCUCUUGUUUUUGUAAAUAUGAUUAGUUCAUCGUUCCUGAUUCAGCCUAUUAUGAAUAAACAUGUUUGCAAUGACAACUAGAGAUCAUAGUUUCUUGUGCCAUGCUUGAUUAGCUAGGAGCUUAUAAUGGUUUACCUUGCGUGCCAACAUGCUAUUAAAAUGGUUGUGAUGUGGUAUGAUAGGGUGGUAUCCUCCUCUGAAUGAUUUGAGUGGCUUGACUUGGCACAUGCUCACGCAUGUAGUUGAAAUAAAAUCAACAUAUCCUCUACGAUAUUUAUGUUCAUGGGGAAUUAUAUCCUACUCAUGCUUGCAUUUGGUGUUGAUUAAUUUUAAUGCAUGUUUAUGAGUGUUGUCGCUCUCUAGCUGGUUGCUUCCCAGUCUUUUGCUAGCCUUCACCUGUACUAAGCGGGAAUACUGCUUGUGCAUCCAAUCCCAUAAACCCCAAAGUUAUUCCAUAUGAGUCCACCAUACCUACCUAUUUACGGUAUCUACCUGCCGUUCCAAGUAAAUUUGUAUGUGCCAAACUCUAAACCUUCAAAUAAAUAUCAUGUUUUGUAUGCUCGAAUAGCUCAUGUAUCAACUAGGGCUGUCUGUAUCUUCCAUGUUAGGCGGGUUAUUCUCAAGAGGAGUGGACUCCGCUCCUCACUCACGAGAAAAUGGCUGGUCACCGGGAUGCCCAGUCCCAUGCUUUAUGCAAAUCAAAUCAAAAUAAUUGCAAACAAAACUCUCCCUAGGACUCUUGUUAGUUGGAGGCACUCGUUGUUUUGAGCAAGCCAUGGAUUGAUGCUUGUUAGUGGAAGGGGAGUAUAAACUUUACCAUUCUGUUUGGGAACCGCCUAUAAUGUGUGUAGCAUAGAAUAUAUCGCCCUCUCUUGGUUGUUAUGUUGACAAUGAAAGUAUACUGCUCAAAAUAUUAUUCACCUCUAUUUCAAAACCGAGCUCUGGCACCUCUACAAAUCCCUGCUUCCCUCUGCGAAGGGCCUAUCUAUUUACUUUUAUGUUGACUCAUCAUCCUCUUAUUAAAAAUCACAAGUUGGAGAGCACCGCUGUCAUUUGCAUUCAUUACUGUUAGUUUACAUUGAGUAUGACUGGACUGGAUCUCUUUUACCAUGAAUUACAAUGUCUAGUCAGUCCUUGAUCUUUAAAGGUGCUCUGCAUUUAUGUUUUGCGGUCUCAGAAAGGGCUAGCGAGAUACCAUCUUGUUAUAUCAUAUCAUGAUUGUUUUGAGAAAGUGUUGUCAUCUGAGAUUUAUUAUAUUGCUCGCUAGUUGAUUAUGCCAUUGAUAUGAGUAAACAUGAGACCUAAAUGUUAUUGUGAAUAUGGUUAGUUCAUAAUCUUUGCUGAAAACUUGAAUGCUGGCUCUACAUAUUUACAACAACAAGAGCAAACAGAGUUUGUAAAAGUUUUUCUUUAUCACUUUCAGCUUAUCAACUGAACUGCUUGAGGACAAGCAAAGGUUUAAGCUUUGGGCAGUUGAUACGUCUUCGUCGUAUCUACUUUUCCAAACACUUUUGCCCUUGUUUUGGACUCUAACUUGCAUGAUUUGAAUGGAACUAGCCCGGACUUACGCUGUUUUCAGCAGAAUUGCCAUGGUGUUAUUUUUGUGCAGAUAUAAAAGUUCUCGGAAUGACCCGAAAAUCAACGGAGAAUUAUUUUGGAAUACAUAAAUAAUACUGGAAGGAAGAUCCACGUCAGGGGGGCCUCCACCUGUCCACGAGGGUGGGGGCGCGCCCUACCCCCCUGGUGCUACCUCUUGAGCACUGCGUUGGUUUUCCCUUGAAGAGGAAAGGGUGAUGCAGUAAAGUAGCGUAAGUAUUCCCCUCAGUUUUUGAGAACCAAGGUAUCAAUCCAGUAGGAGAUCACGCUCGAGUCCCACGCACCUACACAACCAAAUAAGAACCUCGCAACCAACGCGAUAAAGGGGUUGUCAAUCCCUUCACGGUCACUUACGAGAGUGAGAUCUGAUAGAUAUGGUAAGAUAAUAUUUUGGUAUUUUUAUGAUAAAGAGAAAUAAAGAUGCAAAGAAAAAUAAACGGCAAUAGAAAUAACUAAGUAUCACCUGGGCGCACCCCCUGCCUCGUGGGCCCCCUGACGCUCCACCAACCUCAACCCUGACUUCAUAUAUUCACUUUCGGGGAGAAAAAACCAGAGAGAAAGAUUCAUCACAUUUUACGAUACGGAGCCGCCGCCAAGCCCUAAACUCUCUCGGGAGGGCUGAUCUGGAGUCCGUUCGGGGCUCCGAAGAGGGGAAUCCAUCGCCAUCAUCAUCAUCAACCUUCCUCCAUCACCAAUUUCAUGAUGCUCACCGUCGUGCGUGCAUAAUUCCAUCGUAGGCUUGCUGGACGGUGAUGGGUUGGAUGAGAUUUAUCAUGUAAUCGAGUUAGUUUUGUUAGGGUUUGAUCCCUAGUAUCCACUAUGUUCUGAGAUUGAUGUUGCUAUGACUUUGCUAUGCUUAAUGCUUGUCACUAGGGCCCGAGUGCCAUGAUUUCAGAUCUGAACCUAUUAUGUUAUCAUCAAUAUAUGAGCGUUCUUGAUCCUAUCUUGCAAGUCUAUAGUCACCUACUAUGUGUUAUGAUCCGGCAACCCCGAAGUGACAAUAAUCGGGACCACUCCUGGUGAUGACCGUAGUUUGAGGAGUUCAUGUAUUCACUAUGUGUUAAUGCUUUGGUCCGGUACUCUAUUAAAAGGAGGCCUUAAUAUCCCUUAGUUUCUGCUAGGACCCCGCUUCCACGGGAGGGUAGGACAAAAGAUGUCAUGCAAGUUCUUUUCCAUAAGCACGUAUGACUAUAUUCGGAAUACAUGCCUACAUUACAUUAAUGAAUUGGAGCUAGUUCUAUGUCACCCUAGGUUAUGAUUGUUACAUGAUGAACCGCAUCCGACAUAAUUCUCUAUCACUGAUCCAUUGCCUACGAGCUUUCCAUAUAUUGUUCUUCGCUUAUUUACUUUUCCAUUGCUAUUGCUAUCAUCACUACAAAAUACCAAAAACAUUACUUUUGCUAUCGUUACCUUUUGCUGCCGUUACCACUACUAUCAUAUUACUUUGCUACUAAACACUUUGCUGCAGAUAUUAAGUUUCCAGGUGUGGUUGAAUUGACAAGUCAGCUGCUAAUAGUUGAGAAUAUUCUUUGGCUCCCCUUGUGUUGAAUCAAUAAAUUUGGGUUGAAUACUCUACCCUUGAAAACUGUUGCGAUCCCCUAUACUUGUGGGUUAUCAUUGCUCCUGCAGCGGGUCUUGCACAUAGCGGUGCUUCCAGGACGUAAUUCUUCUGUGUAGCAAUGAGGAUAAUCCUCAAGUUACGGACCUAGUCCAUGUAGUUGCUACCAUCAUCUUUCAACUUAGGUUUCUCUACGAACGCAUUAAAAUUCAAAGGGACAUUAGCACGGGCCAUUGAUCUACAACAACAUAGACAUGCAAACUACUAUCAGGUGCUAAGUUCAUGAUAAAUUAAAGUUCAAUUAAUCAUAUUACUUAAGAACUCCCACUUAGAUAGACAUCCCUCUAGUCAUCUAAAUGAUCACGUGAUCCAUAUCAACUAAACCAUGUCCGAUCAUCUCGUGAGAUGGAGUAGUUUCAAUGGUGAACAUCACUAUGUUGAUCAUAUCUACUAUAUGAUUCACGCUCGACCUUUCGGUCUCAGUGUUCCGAGGCCAUAUCUGCAUAUGCUAGGCUCGUCAAGUUUAACCCGAGUAUUCUGCGUGUGCAAAACUGGCUUGCACCCGUUGUAUGUGAACGUAGAGCUUAUCACACCCGGUUAUCACGUGGUGUCUCGGCACGACGAACUAUAGCAAUGGUGCAUACUCAGAGAGAACACUUGUACCUUGAAAUUUAGUGAGAGAUCAUCUUAUAAUGCUACCGCCGUACUAAGCAAAAUAAGAUGCAUAAAGGAUAAACAUCACAUGCAAUCAAAAUAAGUGAUAUGAUAUGGCCAUCAUCAUCUUGUGCCUUUGAUCUCCAUCUCCAAAGAACCGUUAUGAUCACCAUCAUCACCGGCUUGACACCUUGAUCUCCAUCGUAGCAUCGUUGUCAUCUCGCCAACUAUUGCUUCUACGACUAUCGCUACCACUUAGUGAUAACGUAAAGCAAUUACAUGGCGAUUGCAUUUCAUACAAUAAAGCGACAACCAUAAGGCUCCUGCCAGUUGCCGAUAACUUUUACAAAACAUGAUCAUCUCAUACAACAACUUAUAUAUCAUCACGCAAAAACAAGUUAGACGUCCUCUACUUUGUUGUUGCAAGUUUUACGUGGCUGCUACAGGCUUCUAGCAAGAACCGUUCUUAUCUACGCAUCAAAACCACAAUGAUUUUUCAUCAAGUGUGUUGUUUUAACCUUCAACAAGGACCGGGCGUAGUCAAACUCGAUUCAACUAAAGUUGGAGAAACAGACACCCAGUAGCCACCUGUGUGUGAAGCACCUCGAUGGAACCAGUCUCAUGAACGCGGUCAUGUAAUGUCGGCCUGAGCUGCUUCAUCCAACAAUACCGCCAAAUCAAAGUAAGACGUUGCUGGUAAGAAGUAUGACUAUUAUCGUCCACAACUCAUUGUGUUCUACUCGUGCAUAUAACAUCUACGCAUAGACCUGGCUCGGAUGUCAUUGUUGGGGAACGUAGUAUUUCAAAAAAAAUCAUACGAUCACGCAAGAUAUAUCUAGGAGAAGCAUAGCAAUGAGCGGGGAGAGUGUGUUCACGUACCCUCGUAGACCGAAAGCGGAAGCGUUUAGUAACACGGUUGAUGUAGUCGAACGUCUUUGCGAUCCAAUCGAUCCAAACACCAAACGUACGACACCUCCGCGUUCAGCACACGUUCAGCUUGAUGACAUCCCUCGAGCUCUUGAUCCAGUUGAGGCCGAGGGAUAGUUCCGUCAGCACGAUGGCGUGGCGACGGUGAUGAUGAAGUUACCGGCGCAGGGCUUCGCCUAAGAACUACGACGAUAUGACCGAGGUGUGUAACUGUGGAGGGGGGCAACGCCCACGGCUAAGAGAAACUUGUGUCUUUGGGGUGCCCCCCUCCCACGUAUAUAAAUGGGGGGAGGAGGCCGGCCCAAAGGGGGGCGCGCCACAUGUUGGGGGUCCUACUAGGACUCCCUAGUCCUAGUAGGAUUCCCCUCUCCUUUCCUUUUACGGAAGGGGGAAAGGGGGGAAGGAGAGGAGGGGAAGAGGGAAAGGGGGCACGCCCCCUCCCCUUCCUAUUCGGACUCCACUUGGGGGGACGCGCACGCCUCCCCCUUGUGGGUUGUACCCUCUUCUCUCCCAUGGCCCAUAAGGCCCAUGAUUUCCCCCGGGGGGUUCCGGUAACCUCCCGGUACUCCAGAAAAAUGCUCGAAUCACUCGGAAUCAUUCUGAUGUUUGAAUGCAACCUUCCAAUAUAUGAAUCUUUACCUCUCGACCAUUUCUGUGAUCUCAUCCGGGACUCCGGACAAACUUCAGUCAUCAAAUCACAUAACUCAUAAUACAAAUUGGCACGAACGUUAAGCAUGCGGACCCUAUGGGUUUGAGAACUAUGUAGACAUGACUGAGACACAUCUCCGGUCAUUAACCAAUAGCGGAACCUGGAUGCUCAUAUUGGCUCCUACAUAUUCUACGAAGAUCUUUAUCGGUCAAACCGCAUAACAACAUACGUAGUUCCCUUUGUCAUAUGUAUGUUAUUUGCCCGAGAUCCGAUCGUCGGUAUCCCCAUACCUAGUUCAAUCUCGUUACCGUCAAGUAUCUUUACUUGUUCCGUAAUGCAUCAUCAUGUAACUAACUCAUUAGUCACAUUGCUUGCAAGGCUUAUAGUGAUGUGCAUUACCGAGAGGGCUUAGAGAUACCUCUCUGAUACACGAAGUGGCAAAUCCUAAUCUCGAUCUAUGCCAACUCAACAAACACCAUCAGAGACACCUGUAGAGCAUCUUUAUAAUCACCCAGUUACAUUGUGACGUUUGAUAGCACACUAAGUGUUCCUCCGGUAUUCGGGAGUUGCAUAAUCUCAUAGUCAUAGGAACAUGUAUAAGUCAUAAAGAAAGCAAUAGCAAUAAAAUUAAACGAUCAUUAUGCUAAGAUAACGGAUGGGUCUUGUCCAUCACAUCAUUCUCUAAUGAUGUGAUCCCGUUCAUCAAAUGACAACACAUGUCUAUGGUUAGGAAACUUAACCAUCUUUGAUUAACGAGCUAGUCUAGUAGAGGCAUACUAGGGACACUCUGUUUGUCUAUGUAUUCACACAUGUACUAAGUUUCUGGUUAAUACAAUUCUAGCAUGAAUAACAAAGAUUUAUCAUGAUAUAAGGAAAUAUAAAUAACAACUUUAUUAUUGCCUCUAGGGCAUAUUUCCUUCAGGAAGAGCAUCGCGGGUGGGAGGGAGAAGGGGAAUUAAGAGAGUGUGGGUUUGGGUUUGGGCCUCCGCGUGCUAUGUGUACACAUGUGUUGGUGGGUCGAUAGUAGUGGUCCUGGGUUUAUACCCCACGCUACUACUAUGGCCUAUCCCGGGGGUACGGUAGAGACCGCUUAGUAGUAGCGAGGGAUUUAUACCCCUCACUACUACUAUCAACUUAGUAGUAGUGAGGGAUUUAUACCCCUCGCUACUACUAUCAACUUAGUAGUAGUGAGGGAUUUAUACCCCUCGAUACUACUAUGGCCAGUCCCGGGGGGCACGGUGGAGACCACUUAGUAGUAGUGUGGGGUUUAUACCCCUCGCUACUACUAUCAACUUAGUAGUAGUGUGGGUUCUAUACCCCUCGCUACCAAUAAUUAGCAGCAGUGUGGCCCAUAUACCCCUCGCUACGGUUAAGCAUCUAUCUAUAAAGUAUUUUCUAGUAGUGCAUCGAUGGCGGCGAAAUCAGUCGUUCUGCUUGUUUUCCCUACUAGCUCUCUGACGUCCAGAACAAGUUUACGGUCAUAAGGUGCAAUAACCUUGCCUUCAUGAGUGACACGAUGACACGGGAACAGGCUUCCAAGCCUAUGGUGUCGCAUCAUGUCGUGGUCUGCUAGACUUAGUGGACGAAUGCUACUACAAUAUCGGUUGAUCUCAUACUACAAUACCAAGGAAGACACGCAACUACUAUAUAUAUUUCUUCAAGUCAGUCAACACAAGUAAAAUCUGGGAGUUCAACUGGUGCAGCUAUGCAAUGCUAAUGGAGACAACACAAUUCAACUUUAGCACUUCACACAUAAGCAACACCACGUUCAAUGGCACACACCUUAGAGUGUACCUAUGGUGGUUGAUUGGGCUAUAAGAAAUGUGAGUCCAUGUGAAGAUGCCAAAUAUAAUAACACGGCUAAUUACACAUGCAGUGGCAGCAGCAACAAGUGCAUGAAUUCCACAAAUGAUCUAGGGUACACAUGCAACUGUGUCCUUGAGUAUGACAACAACCCUUAUCUUCUAGACAAAUGCAUGGUAUGCUACUAAUUUAUUUGCUAAAUAUUCCAAUGAAUUGUGUCCUUUACUUUGUACAUACCCAAUUAUAAUAUUUUAUUUUGCUAAUACAAUGUAGCCUUCAAUUUAAACCAAGGUUUGCAUCCAUUAAUUAUGUUAGGUUCAUAUGACUUCACUACAUAAAUAGGUAGAUAAUGCAUAAGACUGAGAUUGUAGCUAGGGAUGAAAAUCUAAAUACGGCAUGAAUCUAACAAUUAUGAGUAAUGUCUUUGUGACAAGAACUUUCUUUGUCUUUUAUUCCCAUGUUUGAACUAGUAUAGGUCAGGGUUACACAUUAUGGUGCACAUCACUUUAUUUGUCAUCGUUACAUUGAACACUCAUUGACUAAACAACGAUGAUCCAUCCGUCUUGUAUUACAGGUCUUCAUUUCAUUGGCCACCGAUGCUUGUAAGACUACUCCCAGAUGGUUGUUGUUGUGGAUAUGGUUGUUGAGGUUGGUGUGGUUGCUGGGGGAAUGGUUGUUGGGGUUGCUGGGAAAUUGUUUGUUCUAGUUGCUGGGAUAAUUGUUGUUGGGGCUGCAGAAAUGGUUGUUGUGGUUGUUGUGGUUGCAGGAUGGAGGGUUGCUGGGAAAAUGGUUGUUGCGGUCGUAGGGGGAAUGGUUGUUGUGGUUGUAGAGGGAAAGGUUGUUGUGGUUGUUGAGGGAAUGGUUGUUGUGGUUGUUGGGGGAAUGAUUGUUGUGGUUGCAGGGGGAAUGGUUGUUGUGGUUGCUGGGGGAANNNNNNNNNNNNNNNNNNNNNNNNNNNNNNNNNNNNNNNNNNNNNNNNNNNNNNNNNNNNNNNNNNNNNNNNNNNNNNNNNNNNNNNNNNNNNNNNNNNNNNNNNNNNNNNNNNNNNNNNNNNNNNNNNNNNNNNNNNNNNNNNNNNNNNNNNNNNNNNNNNNNNNNNNNNNNNNNNNNNNNNNNNNNNNNNNNNNNNNNNNNNNNNNNNNNNNNNNNNNNNNNNNNNNNNNNNNNNNNNNNNNNNNNNNNNNNNNNNNNNNNNNNNNNNNNNNNNNNNNNNNNNNNNNNNNNNNNNNNNNNNNNNNNNNNNNNNNNNNNNNNNNNNNNNNNNNNNNNNNNNNNNNNNNNNNNNNNNNNNNNNNNNNNNNNNNNNNNNNNNNNNNNNNNNNNNNNNNNNNNNNNNNNNNNNNNNNNNNNUGGUUGCAGAGGGAACGAUUGUUGGGUCUGGGGAAAUGGUUGUUGUGGUUGCCAGGAAAAUGGUUGUUGGGGCUGUGGAAAAGGUUGUUGUGGUUGUUGGGGUUGCUGGGGGAAUGGUUGUUGUGGUUGUAAGGGGGUCGGUUGUUGGGGUUGGGGAAAUAAUUGUUGUGAUUGCUGGGGAAAUUGUUGUUGGGGUGUGGAAAAUGGUUGUUGUGAUGGAUAUGGUUGCUGUGAUGGAUAUGGUUGUUGUGGAUAUGGCUGUUGUGGAAAUAGUUUUUGUUGAUGGGAAAAUGAUUGUUGAGGUGAUUGUAACUCUUUGUUGUUAGGGUUUAGUUGCCUAGCGGCAAUGGCGGUGUUCAUCGCCAUGGCAAGGAGGACAAAGAUGAGGAAGGUCUUCAUGUUGGAUUUGUGGUUACUACUGCUUGCUUGCCUUUGAUGCUUGUGGUCUAGGUGUGUGAAGUUUUGUUGAUGGAAGGUGUCCUUGGUGGUGCAUGUGUAUUUAUAGUUUUCAUGGCAUGGCUUGCUUUCAUCUUUGCACUCGCUCUUUGAAAAAGUGCAUCAAUGCUUAUCCAACUAAUCAUUUGGUUUGUUGUGUUUGGUGCAACUACUUACUAGUGAGAUUUUGGAUUUUCAUGAUAGUUGUUUUUUGUUGAAAUCAUCUGGUUGUAAGGAAUGUUGGAUAAUGACCAAUGACUCAUCUUCUUCACUUUACACUGCAAACAUUGAUCUAGAUUAUGUCCCUUUUUGAAAUUUAGUUUGUGGAGCUCUACAUGUUGUUAGGCUUAUCCAUAUUGGCAUAGCUUGAGUGGAGCUAAGUUUGUAAGCUUGUGUGCGCCAUUAUGAUGGAUCACACUAUUAAUGUGAUGAUUGUUUUACAAAUUAUCUUUCCAAAACUAACUUUAUGUUUUUUGCCCAAUAUGAUUCUAAGACGGAUAACCAGACAUGACUCAUCAAAUAACAAGAUAAACCGAGUAGCAAGUUGGGGGUUAUAAGUUAUAAUAUGGACUUUUCUCUAAGAUACACCAUCUUGUCUUGCAUGCUCUGUGGAUUUGAAAAGCAUCUACUAAUUUAGAUGCAAUUGAAACAAAAGUAGACUAAAAAGGUAAGCAAUGAAAUGAGAAUACUAUUAUGUGAAGCUCUACAUGUCUGGUAAGCAGUGAGAUACUGGAUACAUCUAUAUCUUCAAUCCUUUCAUCCCUAUCAACUCUUUAUUGGCUGCUUUUAUCGUAGUCAUCCCUUAAAUAAAAAUCACUUAAAUAUAAGUUUGGGAGUUAGUACCAACAUAUAUCAUGUACAAGAUAGAAAACUAAGGCACAUAUAGUAGUCUAUUGACCAUAUUUAAUUUCUUGUGAUGUGAAAGCAUGUGGAGUAUAAGUUGGUUAAAUAUAAAGUUGUCCUUCAUACCAGUAGGGAAAGAAUAUGCAGUAUAAAGAUUAGAGCAUUGGACUAAUAUGCUAUUAAAUGCUACAGGAUAAUUGACAGUUCAAGUUAAGAACAACAUUAGCAUUCCAACUUUUGUCUUGUGCAAGUUAAGAACAUGCUAACAAAGUAACCUAAGCAAAUAAGUGCAAAACCUUCACCUAUAAGGAAAUUGUGAAACUACACAAAAUGACCUAUUGUAAAGAAGGAAAAAAAUCUAAAGGUGAAUGAAAGAACGUUAAGUACAUUCAGGAUUCGAUUAUGCCUUCAUGGAUAACCUUUUAGAUGGUGACAUGUCCAUGUUGAUGUGUGUCGGCAUGGAACGAGGACAAGAAGACGUCGUUGCGUCGUACUUUGGGAAUUUCAUCAAACUGGUUGUGUGCGGGAACAAAUAUUUGUCGCCUCCCUGCUCAAAUCUCUCUUCAUGUCACUGAAUCCGACACUCCACCUACCAAAAUCAGCUGCAAGCCAGGGAUAAUCAACGGGUUUCUCCGCCCGUAGCAUCUAUCACCAAAAGUAGUUCAGACUAUAGUCUUGUAGUUCAAAAUUUUGUAAUAACAAGCACUACUAGGUUGCUUUUGUUUGUACGUCUUCAUUCUGUACAACCCAUGGAACUAAAAAUGCAUUGGUCAUUCUUUGUUCUAUACAACCAAUUCAACCAAAAAUGCAUUGGGCUUUUCUUUGUACAUCUUCGGGUUCUACAACCAAUGCAACAAAAAAUCCAUUGGGUAGUCUUCCAUUCUAGUCGGGCACCAACAGUUAAAUGAGGAGCUAAACAAUGUUGGAGUCUAAAACUACAUACAAUCAUGAAGCAUAGAGAGGCGACUUGGAAGCUGUGCUCCUGUGAGCUCGUAUUUUUGUAGACAAAAAGUAAUGUUUGUAUUUUGAAGUGGGAAAAAAUCCUAAAAAGGGAUGUUUUGCGGGUUAUAACUUACUAUUUUUGGGUCCUGGGCUGCAGGAAGGUCGUCAAAAUCAAUGUGUUUUCCCAUUCAAUGCAUGUUUCUUGGGUUAUAGGUCACGCUUUUGGUGUCCUAGGGAGAUCACUUCCCCGGUCAAGAACAUUAGGUGAUGAUUUUUAGAAAAACUCAUUGUUUUAGCCUAACUAGUUUCGAGGAUUGGUGGACGGGAUUAUCAUGGAACAAAGUGACAACCUUCCUUUUCUUCAUGCCUAAUAUAAACUUAGCAGUCAGCUAAAAGUAACUAGCGAUAUCACAGAAUGUUUUUUGUCAAAAGUAGAUACCACUUCAGGAUUCAACUCGGUUAGUUCAAUCACAGACAUGUUAAGAGCAGGAUUUACAACUAACUGCAUAGGGAACAUCUCCUUUUAUCACCCACUAUCUGUCUGUGCACUUUGGUUUUCCCGUAGCAUCACACAAAGCACUUUGUUAGUACCAAUAAUGUGCUCCAACUCUACACAUUAAUCAUCUUGAAUUCUUCUACUGAUGUCGAACAAUGUAAUAUCUUGAAUUCUUCUAACGAGUUCGGAUUAGACUACAUGGGCAAUUUAUCUGGUCCCUGAGAUGCAAGGUCGAUGAACAAUCGCUUCGUCUUAUGACGAGGGGUUGUUUUUGCCUAAGAAACUAAUACAUGUAACUUCGACACCGGAUUAAUAAAUGGUAAAACCUAAAUAAAUUAGAUCACGAGCUAAACCAUUUACUUUUGUAUGCAUUUAAACUUUUGAUACAUAUGAGCUUGUUAAGAUGUUCGCAUAAACACCAUGGUGAUUUGAAGCAAGACAAAGUAAACUUGAACCGCUUGAGCCACUGACUUAAUAAGAACCUCCUUUCCCGCGGCAGAGAUUGUUUUUAAUACAUCCACUCACUUUGGCCCAUAGUUUGUCUUUGAGAUACUUAAAAGCACUAGACAUAGAAUUGACAAUAUUAGAAGGCAAGCCCAAAUAUUUCACAUUUAGUGUUUCUACUUGGACACUGAGACCACCUUUGACCUCAUUUUUGACAUUCUCUCUGCAAUCCUUGCUGAGAAACACUGAAGGCUUCCUAUUUAUUUAUUCUUGACCUAAAGCUUCAUUGCGUCUUGCCUUGGUCUUGCACUACUUGCGGCACAAUACGCCUUUGGAACUGCCGUUCCGAAUUCAGAGUGCCGAAGGUGGUGUGACGAUGUUGAGAUACCGUACUCGUUCGGUAGUGAUUCGGGUUGAUCAUUCAGAGUAGACUUUGACAAUAGCUGCAAGGACAAGAUUGCAUUAGGGAGCCUUUUAAUUACACCUCGGAGGUGCUCAGCAUCUUCUUGAUGAACAACAUGGUCCUAGUGUUGAAUAAUAUCAUAUGGGGUAGUGCUACAACAACUCCACCACAAGCAUGGAGGAAUUUAGCAAAUUCCAUCAGUACUAGGAGAAAGCCUAGUAGCAACGCGAGGUAAAGGACUACUAGUAGCGCGGGUGCCCACGCUACUACUAGGGUGCUACAGCUAAUUGGUAGUAGUAGCGUGGGUGACACCCUGCGCUACUACCACGUCUGUUAGUAUAGUAGCGCGAGUGUCACCCGCACUACUACUAGUUAUCUGUAGCCCGGGUCUGACCCCACGCUACUACUAACUAAUUAGGAAUUAAAAAAAUAAAUUCCAUCCAUGGUUGCUGCUGCUGGGCGUCAUCGUCCUCUCCGUCCAUGGCUGAUGUUGGUCCUGGAGGGGAUGACGUCGUCCAUGGUGAUGGUACUUCCUCACCCAAAUCGUCCCCACACCUCUCCUAUGCUACUGCUACAAAAUAAGAGAAAACGAUUAGAAGAGGAAGAGAGAUAUUGAGAGGAGUAGGAGGAGCAACUGACCGGUGGCCGCCGGAGUUGGAGCUGAUGCCCGAAACCCUAGACGAUGCCCGGUGACCUGUUGCUUCUUUUCCUGGGACCUCAUGUCCUCACAAGGCCAUGUCUCAGCGAGGAAGUGCAAGUGGUUGCGUAGCAGAUCUGUUCAUCGCCAUUGGUGGCGCUCUGUUGGAUCUUCCUCUCCUUCCAGCAUCGGAGAAGGAGGAGGAAGGAGGCGAAGGUGAGGCGUAAGUCAGUGGCCCAAAAUUUUUAUAUAGAUGAGACUUACUAAGUAAUAACCCCAUAGAAUCUAUCUAUAUAAAGAUAAAGAGGCAAUCGUGUCAGGAAGCGGGUUUUUCUUUGGCCAAAAGGUACUUAGAACUUGGAACGAGCAUGAAGAGAUUAACGAGACUUCUUUCUCUUUUGAGUUUUUCUGGCGGACCUGCCGCGCAAGAUCUUUGGUCUUCCCCUGGAACCGAUGAAAAAAAGUGGAUUGCUUCUUAUGUACUCGCUCAGCUUAAGAUGCUCGCAUAAUCCCCGUGGUAAUUUGAAGCAAUACAUAGAGUAAACUAGAACUGCUUGAGCCACUAACUUAAUGAGAACCUCCUUUCCCGUAGGAUAUAUCAUUUUUUCAAUCCAUCCAUUCACUUUGGCCCAUAGUAUGUCUUUGAGAUACUUAAAAGCAGUAGAUUAGAAUUACCAAUAUCAUAAGGCAAGCCCAAAUAUUUCUCAUUUAGUGUUUCUGUUGGACACUGAGAACACCUUUGACCUCAUAUCUAACAUUCUCUACACAACCCUUGCUGAGAAACACUGAAGACUUGCUAUUAUUUAUUCUUUGACCUGAAACUUGGCAAUAGGUUUGACACAUCUGUCGCCCCUGAACCAUUUGCCUUGAAAAACAGCAGGCUGUCAUCUGCAAAUAACAAGUGGUUAACUGAUGCCACCAAAGGAGCUACUUGGAUUCCAGUAAACUGGGAUGACUAGUCUCUAGAUUUGAGGAGGCCCGAAAGGCCAUGUACUGCUAACAGGAAAAUCAAGGUGAAUUGGAUCUUGCUGCCGUAUACCACGGGUAGGUUUGAGCUCAUCAAGUUUCUUGCUCUUGAAUAAAAUUGAAUAAGAUACAGAAGCUACCAUGCUCAUUUCUAUGGAGGCCCAUUUAACAGAGAAUCCAAAGUUGAGAUUUAUCACCUCCAAAUACGCCCAUUCAACUAGAUUAUAAGCCUUCAUCAUAUCCAAUUUUAGAGUACAAUGGUGAUGUUACAAUGACUUAUUCCUUUUCAUGAAAUGUAAGCACUCGUAGGCCACGAUUAUAUUGUCAGUGAUAAGGCGACCCGGAACAGAAGCCGACUCUUCACUCAAUAUUAUCUCCGGAAGGGCCCCUUUUAGCCGGUUAGCCAGAACUUUGGGUGUUAUUUGUAAAGUUGCAUAGGCUAAUACGACAGAACUGGCUUAGGAAAGUACCAUUUUGUACCUCAUCACUAUCCUCGCCACAAUACAAAGGACAACCAUUGUUACCUCCUCGCCGCAAAUAUCCCAAUGUUUCUCAAAGAAAUGUUCAAAGAAUCCGUCCGGGCCCAAGGCCUUCAUGCGGAACAUUUGAAACAAUACAAUUUAAACCUUGUUGUAGAAUACUUAGCGUCAAGGAAGGCAUUCAUCGCAUCACUGACCUUUACUGGAACCAAGUCAGGAAAUCAUGCAUAUUAGAAACAGUCUCAGAAGUGAAAAGCUCCGAGUAAAACUAUGUUGUGAUCUCUUCCAAUUCCUUAAGAACACUGAUAACAUCACAUUAGGUUGCUACAAUGAUUUGGUCAAAUUAUUCCGCCUUCUCAUCGAAGCCCUUAAGUGAAAGAAGCAUGUGGUCUUGUCCCCACUAAUCAGCCACUUAAUCUGAGAUCUAGUAGGCAAGAUGAGUGACGGGAAGUAGUUCGGAACAAUUUCCUCUUAUUCACUUCUAAAACAAAUUUUCGGUUUUUGUCGUUCCUAAGCCAAGGAUUUGAUAAAUAUUCAUAAAUUUUUAAAAUGUUCACCAAUAUUAAAAACAUCAUGAUUUUAAAAAACCGUGAUUUUUAAACAAAAUCAUAAAUAUGAAAAUUGCCAUUCACAAAAUUUUAAAAUAAAAUCAUGAAUUUUAAAAGAAUUUUCAAAAUUUUGAUAAAUAUCUACGAAUUUUACAACUUUGAUGAAUUUUAAAAACAAACCAUAACAAAAAAACACUAGCAAGUUCGAUCCUAAAAAAUGCCUUGCCUUCUACUAUGCGUAGCGUGCAUGGACAGCCGGACCUAGACACCCUAGACCAAAAACCCUACAUCUGGGCCAGGCCCGAGCUCCAUUUUUUGGCCCAAAGCCCAGCCCAAAAAGGCAGAAAUGGUAAGAAAUGUAUACUUUAUUCAAAAUAUAGGUAUAUUAUAUUGUUUUAGUAUCUCAAAUAAUUAUUUAAAUUGAAAAAUGUCGUUGUUCAUGUGUUUCUGGACGGGCCAAGCCAGGCUCAUGCUUGGGAUUUUUGCUUCGGGCUUUGACAACCUGGCCCGGGGUAUGAUCAAGUUCAGCAUGGCCCAGUCACACACCCUUGUACAACAUUUUGUUGUAGAGAGCGGCAAAUAUAAUUUUCCCGAUCUAAUAUUGCUCGCUAUAAGUCUAUAUCUAUACUUUUUUCUAUACCCAUACUAAUAAAGCAAGGUGCGUUUCCCCAAUUUUUUCAUUCAUUCACUGUCGAAAACAAUUAUGUUUCCUAUCCGAGGUGGUCCUAAAUUCUUAUGCGUUCAUCUGCUAAAAGAAAGGCUUUUCCGGAAUUUCUUACGUGGGUUGCGCGCUAUGGCCAGUGAAGUCAGCCCACUUAUUUUUCUGCCCAUGCAGCUCUAAAAAAUCUAUUUAACACACAGGGCAAGAAAUAGUCGGCACUUCAAACUGGAAAACAAAUAAUGGGCUAGCCAAUUUUUCUUUGUUUCUGUGUUUUAUUUCUAUUUUUAUUCUCCUUCCCCGAUUUCUUUUUUCACUUCCAAGUUUACAUUUCUUAUAGAAUUUAUUUUAUAAAUUCAAAAUUCUCAAAAAACAUAGAGAAUUUUAAAAAAAUGGAAAAUGUUCAUAACUCCAAUUUUUUUGCUAUUUAAAUUUUUUUCAGAACUUGAAUUUUUUCCCUUUUUCCGAAAAUUUUAUUGUUUUUUAAAAUUGUUAGAGAUUUCUAAAAAGAAAAUGGAAAUUUAAAAAGUCUUCCAAAUUCGAAAAAAAAUCAUGUUUUAGUGAAAUUUUCACAACUCAAAUUAUUCUUAAAAAAUACACAUUUUAAAAAGUAAGGAUUUUCAAUACAUGUUCCCGUUCUAAAAAAAUGUUGACAAAUUCAAAUAAUGUUCAUGUUUUUAUUUUAAAAGUUCGUGUUUUCAAAAAUGUUUGUAAAUUCUAAAAGAUGUUCCUAUUUCAUAUUUUGUUCAUGUUUUUCUGAAAGUGUACCUAAUUUUCAAAAAACUGUUCAGGAUUUAAAAAAUGGUUCAUGUUGCCUACAAUAUUGAGAAACUUCAUACCUUAAAAUCUCCUCGAUUGAAGGAACCAUAGAUUGAAUAAUUCAUGGGCCUUCUCUGGUGGACGAUGACGUAGCAAAACUCUUAAAUGCCCUCAAUCAAUGAAUGGAAAAAUAGCGAAUUGAGUACUUCACACCCAGCGAAACAAAGAAGCUAAAUGUUCCCUUUUUACGUGCGCACAGGGUUUUGCUUGCACAAAUAAUUCUCACUAACUUCCAAUGCAUACUAAUUUUUCUCCCAUUGCGAAGCACAAGCAUAUGUGCUAGUUUUAUCCACGGUGGUACUAAAUUUUUUUGAGUCCAUCUGCUAGAAAAAGGAAAAACAGUUUUGUCAAAAUUUUCGUACAUGGGCCGCGCGCGCUGUGGCCCAGCGAAGCUGGCCCAUUUAUUUCCGGCCGAAGCAGCUGAGAAUAAUUAUUUAACGCUUGGGGCGGCAAAUAGACAAAGUUUCGCAUAGGGCGCCAAAUAUUUGGUCGGCCCAUAUUUGUUUUCUCUCUAGUUUGUUUCUUUUUUUAUUUUCCUUUCUCCUUUUCUUAUCUCUUUACUUUUUCUUUUUUCCCUUUCAAGUUAAUUUUUCUUUUCUCCUUUUCCAUAAAUUAAAUUUUUCAAUAUUUCAGAAUUUUAGUUUUGGAUUAAAUUUUCGUAAAAUCUUCAUAAUUAUUUCUCCCCAUUUUGAAUUGUUUUUAAACUAUAAUUUUUUCUUCUUCUUCUUCCAAAAUUUAUUCAAAACUAUAGAAUAAAGUUCGCAUAUUAAUUUUUUUAUGCUUUCCAAAAUUGUUUGAUAUUUUCAAAAUAUAUUGCAUUAAAAAAUUAAAUAUUUAGAUUUUAUUGAAAUGUUAAUUCAAAGUAAUGUUUGUGUUUAAAAACAUGUUUUUCAAAAUUCUUUUCAAUGUCCAAAACACGUUUUCAUUUCCAAAAAAAAUCACGUAUUCAAAACAUGUUUGCUUUCUUAUAAUAGGUUCAUGUUUUCAAAAAACAUAAAUUUCAAAAAAAUUGUCACAUCUUAAAGAAUAUUCAAAAUAUCGUAAUUAUUACUUUAUUUUUUGAAAAAAAUCAAGAAAAACAGAAAAAAAAAUGUAUAUUAUGCUACAGUAUAUUCUUAAAAUUUCGCCCUCGCCAUUUGUUAGCAUGAGCUGUUUGUUCGAGUGGCUAGCAGCACGUGGUCGAGUUUUUGAGGUCAUGAGUUUGAUCCUUCAACUCAGUGGUUGUUUUGGAUUUUUAUUCACGCCUUACAAAUACAAGUCAUUUUGGUACCUGCCAGCGGCCUUGCCAGACUCGAACUGCCGUGCAUCCGACGUGCUAUUUGACGAUAAAAGAGAAUAUGUUGCUUGACUAUAAUUAAAAAAAUGUGGGCACAUGCCAAUAAAAGAGGAUAUGCUGGUUUGACUCUGAUUAAAAAAAUGUUGGCAAGUGAGCGUCGAAAUAAUUAAAGAGAAUAAACCCUGGUAAAGUAGGGACUACCUGGUUACGUGCUUAUUAUACCAAAGAAACGGGAUUUCCUGCAAUUAGUACUUCAACCGGUUACACCAUCAUAGGAGAGAGUAGUCGAAGCAACUAUGCCACGAAGGUCGCCGUGCUGCACAAAAUGAGGAGGCAACCGCAACCUAGACACGGAGGCAGACUCGGAGAAAAAAAAGCGCAAGUUGGGUGGUGGCCACCACUCCAGCAACCCCAUCAAUAUCAAGAACUCGUGGGCCAAACAUGAUCUCAAGAACAUCGCCGGGGAGACCUUUUGAUGGACACAUCAAUUAUCUCUCCUGAUACUUCUCGUUAAAAAUAUCUUUCUAGUUCUAACGCACGGGCAUAUGUGCUAGUGAUAUAUAAAAUAUGUUGUGCCAAUGAGCACACGGGCUAGCGAGACUCGCCAUGCUUUCAUGUCAUACCGGAGUCCAAACACUCAACUGGAGGGUCCAACCUUAGCGACAGAGUCUUCUUUUGUUGGGAGAAUCUAUAUAUCCGCGAGUGUUAUAUCUCGCAUCUGGUUUACGCGCAGUGCACCUAACCACUAGGCUUUGCCUUACAUUCAUGACAGAGUAGUAAAGCUAGAUUGUUUAAGUCCACACGAGUCAAGGUUUUCAAUGUUUCUUCUCCAUUUUUUUUCAUUUUUUCAUUUUUGUUUUUAUAUUUAUUUCUGUCGGGUUUGUUUGAUCCCUUUCGAGGGCAUAAUAGAGGAACCACACCGUGGUGAUGUGGAUGGGUUUAUAGAUACCAUCACUGUAGGGGAAACGAGGAAGGUUUUCGAUGCACGAAUCACUAGCAUACAUUUUCAUGUUUUACGCUAAUUUGCAAUAUUUGCUAGUCGUUGCUUAAUUGGUUGCGGAAACUGUGGAAACCUUAGUGUUCCUGAUAUUAUUAUUUUGUUCCACGGUUUAUUCUGUGAUAACUCUAUUAGUAUGGGCGGUAUUAUUCCUAAAUGGUUAAGUCUGAACUGUACAAAGGGCCCCAUCUUUGGAGGCAUCUAUGCUUCACACCUAGCUGCGCAUUUUAACAUAGCUAUUAGGCAUUAUGAGAAGGAAGAAAAAUUGCUACCCCCUGUUUAUUUAGAUUAUAAUAGUAUGGUGGCACAUGAUUUUAUUGUUAAGAAUAAGGAAGGGGAGCUUAAAUACAAAUUGUUCUUUGAUAAACAUCAUCCUGAGACUAUUACCCUGCCUGCUCCUUCCUUGUUUGAUUUAUCUGCAGGCAAGUACCUCGUUCCAUUAGAGGCUAUUCACGCCUACCGAAACCCUACAUCAGCCAUAGAGCCAGAGUCGGAACCACAAGUUGAUUCUCCAUGACAGUCUAAUUACCAUUGGGAUCCAGAAAUGAUUGCCACCAGUGGCAAUCAGAGUCUUCUUCGCAGUACGACCCCAACUAUUACUAUGGAUAUCCGCCAGGCCAGCCGUGGCCAUAGACCAACUUAGGUCAAAAGCCUAAACUUGGGGGAGUACGUAUUUCCCGCCGACAUUACAUUCAUGUUCGCACACUCAUUGCUAGAUGUCGGUGCUCAUACUUUUUCAUUGUAUCAUCCAUACUAGUUCAUUUCCUUUUUAAGCUUUCUUCUUGUGUGUUUAAUAAACCUUAAGAAAAACCAAAAACAUUAGUUGUAGCUUUUAGCUAGUUUUAAUUUCCAUGCUCGUAGUAGUAAUUAAAAAGAAAACCCAAAAAAAAGAUUUCAUGUUCUUCUUUUGCUUGUUGGGAGCUUUCCCGUGUAAAUAGUUUUAUUUCUUUUCUUUUCUUUGGGGGUCGAUAGGAGAAGACCAUGAUUAAAUUGUUGAAGUGGCUCUUAUAUGUAUUUUUGUUGAUCUGACAAAAGAGCCCAUAUUGCCUCGACUUCUCCUGUUUAUUGAAUGCUUGCAGAUUCCAGCUUAGUCCAAUGCACGUGCACUAUUAUUAUUAUCCACAUCAUUCGGUCGUGCAAGUGAAAGGCAAUUAUGACGAUAUAUGAUGGACUGACUGAGAUGAGAAAAGCUGGUAUGAACUCAACCUGUCUUGUUUUUGUAAAUAUGAUUAGUUCAUCGUUCCUGAUUCAGCCUAUUAUGAAUAAACAUGUUUGCAAUGACAACUAGAGAUCAUAGUUUCUUGUGCCAUGCUUGAUUAGCUAGGAGCUUAUAAUGGUUUACCUUGCGUGCCAACAUGCUAUUAAAAUGGUUGUGAUGUGGUAUGAUAGGGUGGUAUCCUCCUCUGAACGAUUCGAGUGGCUUGACUUGGCACAUAUUCACGCAUGUAGUUGAAACAAAAUCAACAUAGCCUCUACGAUAUUUAUGUUCAUGGUGAAUUAUAUCCUACUCAUGCUUGCAUUCGGUGCUGAUUAAUUUUAAUGCAUGUUUAUGACUGUUGUCGCUCUCUAGCUGGUCGCUUCCCAGUCUUUUGCUAGCCUUCACCUAUACUAAGCGGGAAUACUACUUGUGCAUCCAAUCCCAUAAACCCCAAAGUUAUUCCAUAUGAGUCCACCAUACCUACCUAUUUACGGUAUCUACCUGCCGUUGCAAGUAAAUUUGUAUGUGCCAAACUCUAAACCUUCAAAUAAAUAUCAUGUUUUGUAUGCUCGAAUAGCUCAUGUAUCAACUAGGUUUGUCUGUAUCUUUCAUGUUAGGCGGGUUAUUCUCAAGAGGAGUGGACUCCGCUCCUCACUCGCGAGAAAAUGGCUGGUCACCCGGAUGCCUAGUCCCAUGCUUUAUGCAAAUCAAAUCAAAAUAAUUGCAAACAAAAUUGCCCCUGGGACUCUUGUUAGUUGGAGGCACUCGUUGUUUCGAGCAAGCCAUGGAUUGAUGCUUGUUGGUGGAGGGGGGGUAUAAAAUUUUCCAUUCUGUUUGGGAACCGCCUAUAAUGUGUGUAGCAUGGAAGAUAUCACCAUCUCUUGGUUGUUAUGUUGACAAUGAAAGUAUACCGCUCAAAAUAUUAUUUACCUCUAUUUCAAAAUCGAGCUCUGGCACCUCUACAAAUCCCUGCUUCCCUCUGCGAAGGGCCUAUCUAUUUACUUUUAUGUUGAGUCAUCAUCCUCUUAUUAAAAUGCACCAGUUGGAGAGCACCGUUGUCAUUUGCAUUCAUUACUAUUAUUUUACAUUGAAUAUGACUUGACUGGAUCUCUUUUACCAUGAAUUACAAUGUCUAGUCAGUCCUUGAUCUUUAAAGGUGCUCUACAUUUAUGUUUUGCGGUCUCAGAAAGGGCUAGCGAGAUACCAUCUUGUUAUAUCAUAUCAUGAUUGUUUUGAGAAAGUGUUGUCAUCCGAGAUUUAUUGUUAUUGCUCGCUAGUUGAUUAUGCCAUUGAUAUGAGUAAACAUGAUACAUAAAUGUUAUUGGAAUAUGGUUAGUUCAUAAUCUUUGCUGAAAACUUGAAUGCUGGCUCUACAUAUUUACAACAACAAGAGCAAACAGAGUUUGUAAAAGUUUUUCUUUAUCACUUUCAGUUUAUCAACUGAAUUGCUUGAGGACAAGCAAAGGUUUAAGCUUGAGGGAGUUGAUACGUCUCCGUCGUAUCUACUUUUCCAAACACUUUUGCCCUUGUUUUGGACUCUAACUUGCAUGAUUUGAAUGGAACUAACCCGGACUGACGUUGUUUUCAGCAGAAUUGCCAUGGUGUUAUUUUUGUGCAGAAAUAAAAGUUCUCGGAAUGACCUAAAAAUCAAAGGAGAAUUAUUUUGAAAUAUAUAAAAAAUAUUGGAAGGAAGAUCCACGUCAGGGGGGCCUCCACCUGUCCACGAGGGUGGAGAGCGUGCCCUACCCCCCUGGUGCUACCUCUUGAGCACUGCGUUGGUUUUCCCUUGAAGAGGAAAGGGUGAUGCAGUAAAGUAGUGUAAGUAUUUCCCUCAGUUUUUGAGAACCAAGGUAUCAAUCAAGUAGGAGAUCACGCUCGAGUCCCGCGCACCUACACAAACAAAUAAGAACCUCGCAACCAAUGCAAUAAAGGGGUUGUCAAUCCCUUCACGGUCACUUACGAGAGUGAGAUGUGAUAGAUAGGAUAAGAUAAUAUUUUUGGUAUUUUUAUGAUAAAGAGAAAUAAAGAUGCAAAGUAAAAUAAACAGCAAUAGAAAUAACUAAGUAUCACCUGGGCGCACCCCCCUGCCUCGUGGACCCCCUGACGCUCCACCGACCUCAACCCUGACUCCAUAUAUUCACUUUCGGGGAGAAAAAAACCAGAGAGAAAGAUUCAUCAUGUUUUACGAUAUGGAGCCGCCGCCAAGCCCUAAACUCUCUCGGGAGGGCUGAUCUGGAGUCUGUUCGGGGCUCCGGAGAGGGGAAUCCGUCGCCAUCGUCAUCAUCAACCUUCCUCCAUCACCAAUUUCAUGAUGCUCACCGCCGUGCGUGAGUAAUUCCAUCGUAGGCUUGCUGGACGGUGAUGGGUUGGAUGAGAUUUAUCAUGUAAUCAAGUUAGUUUUGUUAGGGUUUGAUCCCUAGUAUCCACUAUGUUCUGAGAUUGAUGUUGCUAUGACUUUGCUAUGCUUAAUGCUUGUCACUAGGGCCCGAGUGCCAUGAUUUCAGAUCUGAACCUAUUAUGUUUUCAUCAAUAUAUGAGUGUUCUUGAUCCUAUCUUGCAAGUCUAUAGUCACCUACUAUGUGUUAUGAUCCGGCAACCCCGAAGUGACAAUAAUCGGGACCACUCCUGGUGAUGAUCGUAGUUUGAGGAGUUCAUGUAUUCACUAUGUGUUAAUGCUUUGGUCUGGUACUCUAUUAAAAGGAGGCCUUAAUAUCCCUUAGUUUCCGCUAGGACCCUGCUGCCACGGGAGGGUAGGACAAAAGAUGUCAUGCAAGUUCUUUUCCAUAAGCACGUAUGACUAUAUUCGGAAUACAUGCCUACAUUACAUUGAUGAAUUGGAGCUAUUUCUGUGUCACCCUAGAUUAUGACUGUUACAUGAUGAACCGCAUCCGACAUAAUUCUCUAUCACCAAUCCAUUGCCUACGAGCUUUCCAUAUAUUGUUCUUUGCUUAUUUACUUUUCCGUUGCUAUUGCUAUCAUCACUAUAAAACAACAAAAACAUUACUUUUGCUAUCGUUACCUUUUGCUACCGUUACCACUACUAUCAUAUUACUUUGCUACUAAACACUUUGCUGGAGAUAUUAAGUUUCCUGGUGUGGUUGAAUUGACAACUCAGCUGCUAAUACUUGAGAGUAUUCUUUGGCUCCCCUUGUGUCGAAUCAAUAAAUUUGGGUUCAAUACUCUACCCUCGAAAACUGUUGCGAUCCCCUAUACUUGUGGGUUAUCAUUGCUCCUGCAGCGGGUCUUGCACCUAGCGGUGCUUCUAGGACGUAAUUCUUCUGUGUAGCAAUGAGGAUAAUUCUCAAGUUAUGGACCCAGUCCGUGUAGUUGCUACCAUCAUCUUUCAACUUAGCUUUCUCUACGAACGCAUUAAAAUUCAAAGGAACAGUAGCAGGGGCCAUUGAUCUACAAUAACAUAGACAUGCAAAAUACUAUUAGGUGCUAAGUUCAUGAUAAAUUAAAGUUCAAUUAAUCAUAUUACUUAAGAACUCCCACUUAGAUAGACAUCCCUCUAGUCAUCCAAAUGAUCACGUGAUCCAUAUCAACUAAACCAUGUCUGAUCAUCACGUGAGAUGGAGUAGUUUCAAUGGUGAACAUCACUAUGUUGAUCAUAUCUACUAUAUGAUUCACGCUCGACCUUUCGGUCUCAGUGUUCCGAGGCCAUAUCUGCAUAUGCUAGGCUCGUCAAGUUUAACCCGAGUAUUCUGCGUGUGCAAAACUGGCUUGCACCCGUUGUAUGUGAACGUAGAGCUUAUCACACCCGGUUAUCACGUGGUGUCUCGGCACGAUGAACUAUAGCAAUGGUGCAUACUCAGAGAGAACACUUGUACCUUGAAAUUUAGUGAGAGAUCAUCUUAUAAUGCUACCGCCGUACUAAGCAAAAUAAGAUGCAUAAAGGAUAAACAUCACAUGCAAUCAAAAUAAGUGAUAUGAUAUGGCCAUCAUCAUCUUGUGCCUUUGAUCUCCAUCUCCAAAGAACCGUUAUGAUCACCAUCAUCACCGGCUUGACACCUUGAUCUCCAUCGUAGCAUCGUUGUCAUCUCGCCAACUAUUGCUUCUACGACUACCGCUACCGCUUAGUGAUAAAGUAAAGCAAAAACAAGUGUGAUGUCCUCUACUUUGUUGUUGCAAGUUUUACGUGGCUGCUACGGGCUUCUAGCAAGAACCGUUCUUAUCUACGCCUCAAAACCACAACAAUUUUUCGUCAAGUGUGUUGUUUUAACCUUCAACAAGGAUCGGGCGUAGUCAAACUCGAUUCAACUAAAGUUGGAGAAAUAGACACCCACUAGCCACCCGUGUGUGAAGCACCUCGGUAGAACCAGUCUCAUGAACGCGGUCAUGUAAUGUCGGUCUGAGCCACUUCAUCCAACAAUACCGCCAAAUCAAAGUAAGACGUUGCUGGUAAGAAGUAUGACUAUUAUCGUCCACAACUCAUUGUGUUCUACUCAUGCAUAUAACAUCUACGCAUAGACCUGGCCCGGAUGUCACUGUUGGGAAACGUAUUAUUUCAAAAAAAAAUCCUACAAUCACGCAAGAUAUAUCUAGGAGAAGCAUAGCAAUGAGCGGGGAGAGUGUGUCCACGUACCCUCGUAGACCGAAAGCGGAAGCAUUUAGUAACACGGUUGAUGUAGUCGAACGUCUUUGCGAUCCAACCAAUCCAAACACCUAACGUACGGCACCUCCGCAUUCAGCACACGUUCAGCUCGAUGACAUCCCUCGAGCUCUUGAUCUAGUUGAGGCCGAGGGAUAGUUCCGUCAUCGCGAUGGCGUGGCGACGGUGAUGAUGAAGUUACCGGCGCAGGGCUUCGCCUAAGCACUACGACGAUAUGACCGAGGUGUGUAACUGUGGAGGGGGGCACCGCACACGGCUAAGAGAAACUUGUGUCUUUGGGGUGCCCCCUCCCACGUAUAUAAAUGGAGGGAGGAGGCCGGCCCAAGGGGGGGCGCCACAUGUGGGGAGUCCUACUAGGACUCCCUUGUCCUAGUAGGAUUCCCCUCUCCUUUCCUUUUACGGAGGGGGAAAGGGGGGAAGGAGAGGAGGGGAAGAGGGAAAGGGGGGCACGCCCCCUCCCCUUCCUAUUCGGACUCCACUUGGGGGGGACGCGCACGCCUCCCCCUUGUGGGUUGUCCCCUCUUCUCUCCCAUGGCCCAUAAGGCCCAUGAUUUCCCCCAGGGGGUUCCCGUAACCUCCCGGUACUCCGAAAAAAUUCCCGAAUCACUCGGAAUCAUUCCGAUGUUCAAAUGCAACCUUACAAUAUAUGAAUCUUUACCUCUCAACCAUUUUCGUGAUCUCAUCUGGGACUCCGAACAAACUUCAGUCAUCAAAUCACAUAACUCAUAAUACAAAUUGGCAUCGAACGUUAAGUGUGUGGACCCUACGGGUUUGAGAACUAUGUAGACAUGACCGAGACACAUCUCCGGUCAAUAACCAAUAGCGGAACCUAGAUGCUCAUAUUGGCUCCUACAUAUCUACGAAGAUCUUUAUCGGUCAAACCGCAUAACAACAUACGUUGUUCCCUUUGUCAUAUGUAUGUUAUUUGCCCGAGAUUCGCUCGUCGGUAUCCUCAUACCUAGUUCUAUCUCGUUACCGGCAAGUCUCUUUACUUGUUCCAUAAUGCAUCAUCUGGUAACUAACUCAUUAGUCACAUUGCUUGCAAGGCUUAUAGUGAUGUGCAUUACCGAGAGGGCCCAUAUAUACCUCUCUGAUACACGGAGUGACAAAUCCUAAUCUCGAUCUAUGCCAACUCAAGAAACACCAUCGGAGACACCUGUAGAGCAUCUUUAUAAUCACCCAGUUACGUUGUGAUGUUUGAUAGCACACUAAGUGUUCCUCCGGUAUUCGGGAAUUGCAUAAUCUCAUAGUCAUAGGAACAUGUAUAAGUCAUGAAGAAAGCAAUAGCAAUAAAAUUAAACGAUCAUUGUGCUAAGAUAACGGAUGGGUCUUGUCCAUCACAUCAUUCUCUAAUGAUGUGAUCCCGUUCAUCAAAUUACAACACAUGUCUAUGGUUAGGAAACUUAACCAUCUUUGAUUAACGAGCUAGUCUAGUAGAGGCAUACUAGGGACACUCUGUUUGUCUAUGUAUUCACACAUGUACUAAGUUUCCGGUUAAUACAAUUUUAGCAUGAAUAAUAAAGAUUUAUCAUGAUAUAAGGAAAUAUAAAUAACAACUUUAUUAUUGCCUCUAGGGCAUAUUUCCUUCAGGAAGAGCAUUGCGGGUGGGAGGGAGAAGGGGAAUUAAGAGAGUGUAGGUUUCGGUUUGGGCCUCCGCGCGCUAUGUGUACACAUGUGUUGGUGGGUCAAUAGUAGUGGCGCCAGGUUUAUACCCCACACUACUACUAUGGCCUAUCCCGGGGGUACGAUAGAGACCACUUAGUAGUAGCGAGGGAUUUAUACCCCUCGGUACUACUAUCAACUUAGUACUAGUGAGGGAUUUAUACCCCUUGCUACUACUAUCAACUUAGUAGUAGUGAGGGAUUUAUACCCCUCGAUACUACUAUGGCCAGUCCCGGGGGGCACGGUGGAGACCACUUAGUAGUAGUGUGGGGUUUAUACCGCUCGCUACUACUAUCAACUUAGUAGUAGCGUGGGUUCUAUACCCCUCUCUACUAAUAAUUAGCAGCAGUGUGGCCCAUAUACCCCUUGCUACUGUUAAGCAUCUAUCUAUAAAUUAUUUUCUAGUAGUGCAUCAAUGGCGGCGAAAUCAGUCAUUCUGCUUGUUUUCCCUACUAGCUCUCUGACGUCCAGAACAAGUUUACGGUCAUAAGGUGCAAUGCCCUUGCCUUCAUGAGUGACACGAUGACACGGGAACGGGCUUCCAAGCCUAUGGUGUCGCAUCGUGUCGUGGUCUGCUAAACUUAGUGGACGGAUGCUACUCCAAUAUCGGUUGAUCCUAUACUACGGUACCAAGGAAGACACGCAACUACUAUAUAUAUUUCUUCAAGUCAGUCAACACAAGUAAACUCUGGGAGUUCAACUGGUGCAGCUAUGCAAUGCUAAUGGAGACAACACAAUUCAACUUUAGCACUUCACACAUAAGAAAAACCACGUUCAAUGGCACACACCUUAGAGUGUACCUAUGGUGGUUGAAUGGGCUAUAAGAAAUGUGAGUCCAUGUGAAGAUGCCAAACAUAAUAACACGGCUAAUUACACAUGCAGUGGCAGCAGCAACAAGUGCGUGAAUUCAACAAAUGAUCUAGGGUACACAUGCAACGGUGUCCUUGAGUAUGACAACAACCCUUAUCUUCUAGACAAAUGCAUGGUAUGCUACUAAUUUAUUUGCUACAAAUUCCAAUGAAUUGUGUCCUUUGCUUUGUACAUACCCAAUUAUAAUAUUUUAUUAUGCUAAUACAAUGUAGCCUUCAAUUUAAACCAAGGUUUGCAUCCAUUAAUUAUGUUAGGUUCAUAUGACUUCACUACAUAAAUAGGUAGAUAAUGCAUAAGACUGAGAUUGUAGCUAGGGAUGAAAAUCUAAAUACGGCAUGAAUCUAACAAUUAUGAGUAAUGUCUUUGUGACAAGAACUUUCUUUGUCUUUUAUUCCCAUGUUUGAACUAGUAUAGGUCAGGGUUACACAUUAUGGUGCACAUCACUUUAUUUGUCACCGUUACAUUGAACACCCAUUGACUAAACAACGAUAAUCCAUCCGUCUUGUAUUACAGGUCUUCAUUUCAUUGGCCACCGAUGCUUGUAAGACUACUCCCAGAUGGUUGUUGUUGUGGAUAUGGUUGUUGAGGUUGGUGUGGUUGCUGGGGGAAUGGUUGUUGGGGUUGCUGGGAAAUUGUUUGUUCUAGUUGCUGGGAUAAUUGUUGUUGGGGCUGCAAAAAUGGUUGUUGUGGUUGCAGGAUGGAUGGUUGCUGGGGUUGGGGCUGGGGAAAUGAUUGUUGUGAUUGUUGGGGUUGCUGGGAAAAUGGUUGUUGCGGUUGAAGGGGGAAUGGUUGUUGUGGUUAUAGAGGGAAAGGUUGUUGUGGUUGUUGAGGGAAUGGUUGUUGUGGUUGUUGNNNNNNNNNNNNNNNNNNNNNNNNNNNNNNNNNNNNNNNNNNNNNNNNNNNNNNNNNNNNNNNNNNNNNNNNNNNNNNNNNNNNNNNNNNNNNNNNNNNNNNNNNNNNNNNNNNNNNNNNNNNNNNNNNNNNNNNNNNNNNNNNNNNNNNNNNNNNNNNNNNNNNNNNNNNNNNNNNNNNNNNNNNNNNNNNNNNNNNNNNNNNNNNNNNNNNNNNNNNNNNNNNNNNNNNNNNNNNNNNNNNNNNNNNNNNNNNNNNNNNNNNNNNNNNNNNNNNNNNNNNNNNNNNNNNNNNNNNNNNNNNNNNNNNNNNNNNNNNNNNNNNNNNNNNNNNNNNNNNNNNNNNNNNNNNNNGAAUGGUUGGUGGGGAAUUAUUUGUUCUGGUUGCUGGGGAAUUAUUUGUUCUGGUUGCUGGGGGAAUGGUAGUUGGGGUUGGGGAAAUGGUUGUUGGGGUUGCUGGGGGAAUGGCUGUUGUGGUUGCAGAGGGAACGAUUGUUGGGUCUGGGGAAAUGGUUGUUGUGGUUGCCAGGAAAAUGGUUGUUGGGGCUGUGGAAAAGGUUGUUGUGGUUGUUGGGGUUGCUGGGGGAAUGGUUGUUGUGGUUGUAAGGGGGUCGGUUGUUGGGGUUGGGGAUAUAAUUGUUGUGAUUGCUGGAGAAAUUGUUGUUGGGGUGUGGAAAAUGGUUGUUGUGAUGGAUAUGGUUGCUAUGAUGGAUAUGGUUGUUGUGGAUAUGGCUGUUGUGGAAAUGGUUGUUGUUGAUGGGAAAAUGAUUGUUGAGGUGAUUGUAACUCUUUGUUGCUAGGGUUUAGCUGCCUAGCGGCAAUGGCGGUGUUCAUCGCCAUGGCAAGGAGGACAAAGAUGAGGAAGGUCUUCAUGUUGGAUUUGUGGUUACUACUGCUUGCUUGCCUUUGAUGCUUGUGGUCUAGGUGUGUGAAGUUUGGUUGAUGGAAGGUGUCCUUGGUGGUGCAUGUGUAUUUAUAGUUUUCAUGGCAUGGCUUGCUUUCAUCUUUGCACUCGCUCUUUGAAAAAGUGCAUCAAUGCUUAUCCAACUAAUCAUUUGGUUUGUUGUGUUUGGUGCAACUACUUACU
rnacentral:lncRNA from 1 species